rnacentral:lncRNA from 1 species
AAUUCCAAAACUUGAGGGCAAGUUUUGUAACUAUCCAAAACUUUUCAUUUCAUAACUUAUGAAUUAAAGGUUCAUAAAAAUGAAGACUCUUCAUUUUCAUGUAACUUAUGUGUUUAAAUGUGUGUGUUAAAGAAAAGUGACCUUUGGAUAUCCAUAACUUGAGGACAAAUUAUGGACUCCAUUAAAACACAUAAAUGAUCAAGAAUUAAUUCUAAACAAUUCAGCAAAUAAUUCCUAUCAUCUUCUAAAUUCAUAAGAACAUGAACAUGAUCAUCAAAAUUUCAAGAAUUAUAUGAACACAUAAAAAUCAUGGAAUUUUGAUAUAUGCUAUUGUAAAUGGAUUAGAACAACCAUUACACCAACUAAAACAAGUUUUAAAACACCAAAACAGUUUAGGGUAAUGUUUCUAGUCCAUUUCCAGCAGCAAAAGUCGAAAUUCUGCAUUCUGAUCAUUCUACUCGCCGAGUGCACGAACCUACUCGCCGAGUAGGAUGAAUUUUGCCUUGAACUCGGCGAGUCCCCCCAUGGACUCGGCGAGUCCAUCAGCCAGACAGCAACAAUUUCAACUUUUUUCACUAUUUUGCAUCAAGUAUCAAACAAGCAAGCCUAGGCUCUGAUACCACUGUUGGGUUUUGAGCAAUCUAACACUUCCUAAGUGUGCAUGCAACCCUAAUAAACCUUGGAUCUAUGUUUGUCUAAAUACAUGCAAAAUAAUAAUUUUCCAAGGUUCAUAACCUAUCUAACAUGGCAUGGGGAACAUUUCAACAUAAAAGAGUUAGAAGAGAUUACAUACCUUUUUGAUGAGUUUGGUUCUUAAGGAGUUUGAGGGCCAAGCACCAAUAGUGUGAAUGCCUCAAAUGGAAUCACAAAACACCACAAACUCUUGGAAAACUUUGAGAGAGUAUACACACUUGUAUUUUUGGCCACACACAAGCACACACACACUAGUUCACUAGUUGCCAUUUCAUGCUCCAUAAGCAUGCUUAUAUAGUGUGCAUGGUUAGGGUGAAACCCUAAUAACCCAUGACCUUUCCUUUUCCAAGGAUCCAUGGGUUAAAAGCUCCAUGGAUCAUCCAUGGACUUCCAUAUAAGCCUAGCCCAUUAACAAAUGAGUGUUAGCCCACACCAUAUAAAACCAAUAGCCCAUAAUCUAAUUAGUCUUCCUUUUAAUCUCUAAAUUAAUUCAUAAUUAAUUUAAGACUAAGACUAAUUAAAUAACAUAACUUCAUAUUAAUAUAUUAUAACUUAUAAUAUAUUAAUAAACAUAUGUGUAUAACUCUCAUAAAAUUAUCCAUAAAUAGUUCGGGUGAGAUGCAACCCAAAUGGACCAUGCCGGGUCGGGUCAAGUAUAUACCAAAUAAGUUAUGGACUUAGACACCUUAUCCAACAAGAUGAACCAACAUUCAUAAUUAGUUUAUCUAUAUCACCAUCACAAACAAUACUUUCAUACACACCUUUACAAGGACUAGCUUUGAAAAUAAAACAACCAUUCUUAUAAACCAAAAUGUCACCAUUAUCAUUAUCAAAAGAAAAUCGACAACCAUCCUUAUAAAGUGCAUGAAAAGAAACAAUGUUUCGUGCCAUAUCAGGCGAGUAGCAACAAUUUAAUAAACUAAGAAAACACCACCACUAAGCAUUAGCUCAUAGUUCCCAAUCCUUGUAACAGCUAACUUGUUCCUGUUUCCCAUGAUUAGGUUGAGCUCACCAUGCUUCAACUUCCUACUUUGUCUUAGUCCCUACAUAUCAGAGAAAAUGUGAGUACCACAUCCUGUAUCAAGAAUCCAAGAGUUAGAAGUAAAUGUGCUAUGGAGUUCUAUCAUGAACAUACCUGAGGUGCUAGCCACCUUGACUUUGCCCUUCUUAAGGUCCUCGAGGUAUUUAGGGAAACUAUGCUUCCAGUGUCCCUUUUGCUGGCAGUAAAAACAAAUGGCCUCACUUGGAUCUGAAGAAGGAGCUAUUUCUCCUUGGGCCUUUGUCUUGGGAGGAGGACCAGACUGUCCGACCUUACCCUUACCCUUCUCUUUGGGUUGAGGCGCCCUUUUCCUUUUGGCAGAACCACGGUCAACAGCUAGCACAAGAGCAGUAGGGUUAGAGUUGUUAGGCUUCUUCAUGCUUGCUUCAGCGGUUUUAAGCAUUCCAUGUAACUCCAUUAAGGUCUUGUCAAGGACAUUCAUAUUGAAGUUCAUGAUGAACUGAGAAUAUGAACUAGUAAGCGAGUUCAAGACCAUGUCAAUGGACAACUCCUUAGGCAGCUCAACACCUAGAUUCCCAAGUCUGUCUAUGUACGACUUCAUCUUUUGGACGUGCGCACACACAAAAGCUCCUUCUUGUAGCUUACAUGCCAUAAAGGAUUUAACGAUCUUGAAUCGUUCUUGCCUUGCUUGCUCUUGAAACAUUUCCUCGAGCUGCUGGUUGAUAUCAAAAGCACCCCAUGUCUCAAAGUUCUUUUGGAGACCAGAACCCAUGGUUACUAACAUAAGGCAAGCCACUUUGGUCGAUUCAUCGUAAUGCUUUUUGUAGGCAGUAACUUCUUCUGGGGUAGGGUUUUCUCCAAGCACCAGGACAUCUUCGUCGAGAACAUACUCCUUGUUCUCAUAUCUUAACGUGAUCCUCAAGGUUCUGAUCCAAUCAAGAUAGUUGGAUCCAUCCUCCUAGAGUUUCUCCCUAUUAAGAACCGGCAUGAGAGAGAAGCUUGAGUUUUGAGUUGGAGGAGGAGGUGGAGGGGGAGGAGGCAAAUUGUUGUUGUUUUCUUAGUUUGACAUCUACAAAAGAUAAGACCCUAAUUAGUUUGAUAUAAGUCCUUAAUUAAUAAUUACCCUAAAUGAAUUAUUAGAUUAAGGCUAGGAUCCAUGUUUGGCUUCGUGAUGCGUAAAAGGAUGCCGUAAACACACCACAAAGUUAUUUAGGUAGACAAAGCUCUUUGUCAAUUUCAAUCACCAUGAAAUUCCUAGAUCUUUGAGAUUCAUUGACUAUCAAUGGCAUGUUCAUCUCGGAUUAUGUUCAUCUCAAAUUCAAUGACGGGGAUGCCGCGGAUCAUUGAAUAGAUGGUGAAUCACCCAUACAAAAUUGCGUGGUCCCCGGCUCAAGUUACGCUUGAGAUUCGCGAGUUUCACAUCAUUCUCUACUUAUACUCUCUAAUUGACGUGCUGGUUAACCACACAAGCUCCAUCAACAAGUUAUAAAGAGAAUGUGAAAUUUUUACGGACAACAUAAGAUUCACUUUAUUUAAAUAAAACGGGAUUUUGUCUUAUACUUGUAUUUAAAAUACUUUUAGAUUGACCAUUGUCACUAUCAAACCCUUUCGGUAACUCCAUUCACAAAAUGCAAUGGGGCGGUGAGGGUGGUAAGCGCGAAGCAUAUUAAAAACCGACCUCAUUAGGAAUCAUAGAGACCUCCUUAAACCCCUACAUUAGAACGGGUGAGCCUAGUCGAGGUAAGACCGACAAUGUCAAUAUUUAAAAUAUGCGAGGACGCAUAUUGUAAUUUUCUUAUACAUACAAUAUAUGUAUCUUACAUAUAUAAGGGCCAAAUUUAAAACUCUUUAAAUCUAGUUGUCUAUUAUUAAUUCAGAUUAAUUACAAGGAUGCAAUAUAACAAUUAAUAAAACAUGAGGGAUUAAUAUUCAAAUUCAUAAAACUAUAUUAUAAACAAUAUUAAAAAUAUUUAAAAAUCACCAUUUAAAUAAUAUCUAUCUAUUAUCAGAUUUACACAAUUGAAAUUUGAUAUUUAUCCAUAUUAAACAAAACUUCAAAUUUAAAAAUGGAAUAAAAAAUAAAAAUCCCGAAUCUGCUGAGCUCACGUCGUGGACUACCCUUUUCACGUCGUGAGCUGUGAUUAGGGUUUCAUACAUUUCGAACUUUUCAGAUCUAAUCCAACUAGGUAACUAUCCAUGCAAGAUAAAGUCUUAAUUUGAAAAAUAAGCAGGAUCAAAACCGAUAGUUCUGAUCUGCCAAUGUUCAUGUCGUGGACAACUCUUUUCAUGUCGUGAACUUAGGGUUUUUUUAUCAAAUUACGAAUUUUUCAAUUAAACUUUCAUCAUUCAGUUCCAAAGCAAUAUUUUCAGAAAACAUGGAUGUAGGGUGAUAGUAACCAUGAACCAAUGGCUCUGAUACCACUGUUGGGAGACAUUUGCAUCAAAUACACUCUAUAACUAGACAGCGGAAUAAUCGAAACAACAAAAUGAUUUACCUAAGUGUACAUGCACCCUAUGGAUCUAUGGCUUCAUACUGUUACUUCUACCCUAGGAAAACCGAAAAUAUAAGAAGAAUACUAACCUCUUUAGCAACCAAUGAUCUUCGAGCUUGACUCCUUGUGCGUGCCACCUUGUUUGGAUGAUGAGGAUCCAAAUUAGAAUCCCUCUCUUGGUUCACACCCAAUGGACUCAAAAGAGUAGAAACAAAUAUAAACUAGGAGGGAUGAACUCACGAAAAGUUCUUCCAUAAUGAGGGAGAAAGAAGGUGGCGAAUACUUAAGCCAGAAAAUGAGCAAGGAGGAAUGAAUCCCUAAGGCCCUAUUUAUAGCCUUGGAUACCUCCUAGGGUUUUAUCCUUCCACCCAUGUGGGAUGGGAUAUGAUAUGAACGAAAUUCCCUUUAUCCAAAGGGAAUUUUCGUCCAACCCCCUUCCUUCUAGGGUUCUGGAAUGUUCCCUGAUCAACCAACUAUUGAUUAAUUCACAUUCAACCCUUCUAUUAAUUAAACUGUUAAUUAAUCCCCAAAUUGUUUUCCAAUUAGUUUCUAAGUAAUUAUUAAACCAUAAUAAUUAAUAAACUAAUUACUCCUAUUAUAUAUUCUACUCAAUUUUGAGUCUUGAGGGCAACCCAAGAGGACCCUGCUAUUAUUAGAAAUAUCACCAACUAGUUAAUGAUCUUGGACACACUUCCAACAACCCUCUCGUGAAACAUCCUCUUAAUCUCCGUCACUGACUCUGUCUUCUGCUUGAGAGACAGAAACUCCUGGGCCAAUCGUUCCCUCUCCACCGGGGGAACAUACUCAUCUCGGGACAUCAAUGUAAACCUCUCCCAUGUCACUGUAGUGUGCUCUGCAGGAGUAAAAUUGGCCGUCACAAAUUUCCACCAGUCCUUCGCUCCCAAGCGAAGCUGGUUUAGUGUGAACCGUACCCUCAAAUGCUCUAGGCAUGAACAAGUGUAGAAACACCCCUCGAUAUAAGAGAUCCAUCUCAUUGCAGCAAUUGGAUCCUGAGUCUCAUCAAAAUCUGGUGGCUUCGUGUUGCUGAACUCCUAGUACAACAACGAGUCACCUCCCUGUGGCCUGGCAACAACGACAGCUGCAGUGGCUGCAUAAGCAGCCGCCUCAGUAAGUGAAACAUAUCGCUCGUCAAGCUUCUCGAUCAAAGUGGUCUUAAUAGACCCAAACAUCUCUGGAAUAGCCUCUCGUAUGGCUGCGGCCACCUCAUCGUGAAUCAUCGUACAAAUCUCAUCAUCGCUAACUCUACUGCUUUGGGGUGUGGCGUGUACCCACUUAUGAUGUCUCUGAAACACAACACAAAAUCAUCAGAGACUCGCUUGAGCAUACUCACGCUCGACCACUCAUCCCUACUUUUUCCUUAGCAUCCUAAGGAUUCUUACAUGGAUUGCCUACAGAUCCGGUGUUUCCAGUAGUACGGGCCCAAUACUACCUUCUAUACCAACCUGUAGUCAUCCCAAGUCCUCCUCCUAGGAUUCUAAUUCACAAGUACUCUAUCUCUCACAAUAUCAGACUUCUCUCUCAGAAGACCACUCAUAUGCUCAUCUAGGUAUCUCUUCCUAGAUUAUCUCUCGACUCAAAACCCAACACAAACUCAUAGCAAAUAACAUAUAACACUUAUCAAAAUCAUCACCUAGGCUAAGGGAUCACAAAUCAGGCAACUCUACCCUAGAAUAUGAAAUACCUAGCCUACUCUCUAGCAUGAAAUUCUAUUAAAAUAUUUCAUAAAACGAAAGUAAAGGUAUUUUGGGUAAUCACCGUUCGGGCUCUGGCUAAUUGUACACACUGCUCCAGCUCGUUUUCUCUUAAAACUCUUCCUCAUUCUAGAAAAAUCGUUUCUUUUGAAAUUUUUUCUCAAAUCCUGAGGUUGAGUCCAAACACACCCGGAGGUGCAUCCGAGUCCCUCAAACCAAGGCUCAGAUACCAACUUGUAAUGACAUAAAUUUUCAAACCAAAAUUUUCAUUUUCAAACACAAAUAAACGCAUGUCACAUUUUCUCAAAAAUCUCAAGUAUCAAACAACAACACAAAUUUCUAAAAUUGUUUAUCACAAAUCCAGGAUCCUCCGAAAACAUAUCUCCAAUGCGAGUGUAUGUACAAUCAAGCCGAUGCCUUCCCGUGAUCCUGAGAAGUACCUGAAACACAUAAUACAUAACACGGUAAGCACGGAGCUUAGUGAGUUCCCCAAAAUACCACAUACAUAAAUAAUAAGCCUCUCAUGGCUAUAACUCGGCAUGGACCUCCGGUCUCAUGCGCCUCGGUGUGGACCCUCCGUUCAUGUGUCUUAGUGAGGACCCUCCGGUCUCACAACUCAGUUUGGAUCCUCCGGUCCUGUCUCAGUGGAACCCUCCAGUCCCACAACUCGGUUUGGACCUUCCGGUCCUAUCUCAGUAAAACACAGAAUAUAGCAUAUAUAUCACACAGACAAAAUGCAUAAUAUGAUGUAACUCAAAUAAGCACAAAAGACCCUUCGGUCACUCAUAGAUACCACUUAUGGUAAGUAUAGUGAUAAGACUCACCUCGUAAGAACUUGGAUAAUCUCGAACUCGAAUCACCGGUCUAACCUCCGCCUAACACAACGAUAAUUAUCCCUAAUUAAUAACGGCUCUCACUGAAGCUAGACUAACCCUUCUACAAACUCACAGAAGGGUAAAAGACCAUUUUACCCUUCCAUGGCCUUAAAAGUCCACAGAUCGACCAAACCCUAAAAGUCAACCAAAAGUCAACGACAAAGAGUACGCUGCAUGUACCAGCUCUCUACGUUGGGCGUACUUUUGGAGCCAUGUAGGCAUCGGGGAUGCUCGAGCUUUACGCUGCGUGUACUAGGAUUACGCCCAACAUACAUCCCAGUUUCACUCUUUCUACUCAUUUGGUCUUAAUUAGUUAAGACCUUGGCUCAUAUCACAGAUAUGGACUCCCUAAUAGCUCUUACUCUAUAAAGUUAGUGACUUUAAGCCUUUGCAUGGAUGACAUGGUCACAAACACACAAAAUACUCACUCUCUUAUCUCAAAAAGCCCAUAUCUCAUGCAUGGCUUGAUUCCAACGUCCAAGAUUGGAUUUUUAUGACACUACAUCACUAAAUACACUCAAGGGGGGUUGAUCAUAGUCUCUGGAGCUCAAUAUCUCAUAAAGUCUCCAACUUUUGGGACAAAACCUAAAAUACUCUACUAUGAUGCACAAAUCAAAAGAGUGAGAAAGCUUGAAGCUUUAUACCUCUAUGUGAAGCUCCCAACACAGGUAUGCUCAGAUCCAAGGGCUUGGGCUCUCACUCCUUCGUCUCCAAAGCUUCUCCUUCACUUCAAGAACACACAAAUACUCUCAAGGCUCUCAAAUGCACUCACAAGCUCUAAGAAUGAAAGCUAGGGUUUAGGAGGGUUUGUUGUCUGAGAAUGGUGGCCAUGAAUGAGGCCAUCAUAUCCUUUAUAUAGGGGUCUCACCCUAAAUUAAGGUUUUCACUCUAGGCCUAGUACGCCCAACGUACUAGGUGGCUUCCGCAACAAAAGCACGCAUAUGAGUACGCUGAGCGUACACUCACGUACUCUUUCACCACCUUUUCUCAAUAAGGGACUAAAAUGGACAUGCACUCAAAAGAUCAAGGGUUACAGGGCAUACCUGGAAUUGGGAUGUUACACGCUACGUGCAAAGUGGCAAAGCACGAGAAUGCAUGUAUAGAAAAUCAACAUAUGUUUGUACAUUUUGUAUUUGAUACAUUUGGUUUUCUCGCACCAGAAGCGGUGGAGCUCCUUAACAGAGUCCCACGGGUCAUGCAUUCUAAUGUCAUAUCUCCUAGAUCCACAAAUGUUGUUUUCAAAAGAAUUAGUUUUGCCAUCCAGAAAUGGCUAGCACUGCAGCUUGUUGCCCGUUUUCAUUCCAUCGAUAUGUAUUGAAUUAUUUUAGUUGUAAUAAUAAUAAUAAUAAUAAUAAUAAUAAUAAUAAUAAUAAAAUGUUUGAUGUUUUAAAUAUAUUUUUGUUGUUGUUGUUGUUGUUGUUAUUAUUAUUAUUAUUAUAAAUGAAAGUCAAAAAAUGAUUNNNNNNNNNNNNNNNNNNNNNNNNNNNNNNNNNNNNNNNNNNNNNNNNNNNNNNNNNNNNNNNNNNNNNNNNNNNNNNNNNNNNNNNNNNNNNNNNNNNNNNNNNNNNNNNNNNNNNNNNNNNNNNNNNNNNNNNNNNNNNNNNNNNNNNNNNNNNNNNNNNNNNNNNNNNNNNNNNAUAUAUAUACAGAGAGAGAGAGAGAGAGUGAGAGAGAGAGAGACCUAUAAUUCAAUUGGUAAUUUAAGUGUUUAUGUGGAGGAGGGGCAUAGGUUCUAAUCCCACACCUCUUAUUUUUUAUUUAUUUAUUUUUUUUAAAAAAACUUUACCCUUUAGUUGAUAUAUAGAAGAGUUAAGGAUUAAAAACAAAAAAGUGUUAGCUGAAUUGGUAAGUCGUUAGAUUUGUAUGAAGAAGGAUGCGGGUUCGAAAUCCCUUUUUUUCAUUUUUGAAAAAAAUCAAAUUUUUUUAUUCCUAGGGAGGGUGCUGACAUUGCAUGCUGCGUUAGCAGUCAUGUCAUCCCAAAUCAUUAGCUUUGUAUAAAGAAGGAUGCAGGUUCGAAACCCCCCUUCUACAUUUUCAAAAAAAAAUCGAAUUUUUUAUUCUUAAGGAAGGCGUUGAUGUGGCAUGCCAUGUUAACUACCAUGUCAUGUCAAAUCAUUAGUGCUUUCCAUCUUGGAGUGUCACAUGAACAAAUGACAUGUUGAAAUGGUCAAAAAGUACCAAAGUGAAAGAGAUAUUCGGUUUUUUGGGUUUUUCUGUUAAAAAAAAUUAGGAUUUUUUUUGAAACUAUUUCCAAAAUAAUGAGAUUUUUCUAAAGAUUUCCCAUUUAUAUAAUGAAAUUUGAACACUAAAAAAUAAGAAAAAAGAUUCAUUGAAAAAGCUACGUGAAAACUGGUUAUGAAAUUUGAGGUCUUUUGGGGGAAAAUAAUAAUAUAAAAAAUGGUUAUUGUAUUCAUUUUUAUAUGCAAGUACUUAUAAGUUAUAAUUUGCAUGUGUUACACAGUUACAUUGUUAAACUCAACAAAUAAAGUCGUACAAAAUGAACUCGAAAAAUGUUGUUACUUUACAUUAAAAAGUAGUACAAGCCAAGUAUAGUCGAUCCACAAAGACACAUGACAAUUUUUUUUUUAUUUGCAUAAGGUAUUUGAAUCACAAAAUGUACACGCACGUGCCGGGGAGGGGNNNNNNNNNNNNNNNNNNNNNNNNNNNNNNNNNNNNNNNNNNNNNNNNNNNNNNNNNNNNNNNNNNNNNNNNNNNNNNNNNNNNNNNNNNNNNNNNNNNNNNNNNNNNNNNNNNGGGAGGGGGGGUUGGGGUUUGAAUUUGCAUAAAUAAAUGCUAGACACAUGCAAUCAAAGAAUUGCAAAUUAAUAAUAAAAUAGUUCUAAUACAAUCAGCGUAAUGAAAUCUCAAACAUCAAUGUAAAACAUAAUCGAUAAUGUGGAAAUAAAACUCCAGGGGGGGGGGAUGCAAUGUGAUCAAGUUGGACCCUUCCCUUUGGAACCAUAAGUACCUGAAAUAUUCAAACAUGAAACUGUAAGCACAAAGCUUAGAGAGUUCCCCAAAAUACCACAUACCAUAUAUAACAAUGGGCCCCGUCCUAGGGGUAUAUGUUAACCCAUGUAUAACACACCGGUUCAGAUGUUUCUUAAUUCUGGGUUGGUGGGACAUAAUUCGAUCAUGUAAAGGCUUUGGGAUUUGAGAAUUAAAGUUUGGACCUUAUUAAAGAUUGCUAUCAUUGGUUGCAGGAUCUAAACCUUUGAUUCGCAUACUAGAACCAAAGGGUAGAGAAGGAAAAGUUAUAGGUAGGAACUCUUGCGUGAAUUAUUGUUUUAGUUCGUUAUGGUUUAAUCCAAAGGUAACUAUAUAGGAUUAUGGGGCUUAUCAAUACCUUUCCGUGCAUACAAAGAACGCCGGAAGUGGAGUUGAAACGAAGAAGUUAUGGUUCUUUGAAGUUGAGCUGGAAAAUGAAGAUUUUCCCUUUGAAAGGCGUAAUGUUGCUAUGAAUGGCAUAGCGGCUGAUGUAUGAACGCGCCUUUAAUGAUCUAUACAUGGCGUAAAUCUGGCUACGCAAGGAGUAGCGUUGUUGACCAAAACCCUAAUUGUAACAUCCCAAAAAUACAGACUAAAAUUUUCAUUUUUGAUAUAGCCAUUUAUAAAACAAUUUAUAGAAAACAUCAUCAAGUUAAUUCAUUUCAUAAAAAGCCAUAGUUCAUAAGUAUCAAAAUCAUGUCAUAACAUAGUAACAAUGUCAGCGUACGUAUCCCCAGAAUCUCAUAUGCGGAAAUCGUGUGUGUGAUGCGCUGCUACCGUGCCGACUGCUUUCCCUUUGAAGAAGAAGGACCUGAAACCAAAACUGAUAAAUGUAAGCACUAAUCUUAGUGAGUUCCCCCAUCAUACCACAUACCAUACAAACACACAAUGCUUAGCAUAUCUGGGUGCUGGCCUCCCCUUCGGUAUCUUUCAACGGGUAACUGCCUAGCAUAUAUGGGUGCUGGCCUCCCCCUCGGUAUCUUUCAACCGAUGACNNNNNNNNNNAACUCCCCCCCCCCCCCCCCCCCCCCUUCGGUAUCUUUCAACCGGUAACUAGGGACUAUUUCACCCUUACGACUACCACAUAAUAACAUAACAUAGUAGCACAUAAAGCAUAACAGAUAGUGGCAUACCAGAUAAUUAUCAUAAAGACAAUCAUCUCAACUAUAAUCAAUACUAGUGGGCCGGCAUUGGUGCCUUCAACCCACUCCUAGUGGAAGGUAACUCACCUCAAUUUCAUGAAGUAGCUGAACUGUCCUCGGUGUUGGGAUCAACUCCUCUCAAACUCCUACACAUAACAAUCUCCGUUAAUUACCUUAACACACUCAUAACCCUUUAAGGGUCAGCUCUGGUCAAUGGUCAAGUCAAAGGUCAACACUCUGGUCAAAGUCAACCUUCUGGUCUAAGUCGACAUUCUAGUUGACUCAACUCGCUGAGUUGGUCCAUCAACUCGUCAAGUUCCCGGGUCCAUAGAACUUUGGAGUCUCGGUCCUACUCGUCGAGUUCCCUUUCAUACAAUUUAGAGCAUUUCACUCACAACUCGCCGAGUUCAUGCUUGAACUCGUCGAGUUCCUCUUCAUAUCAGUCGGGACGUUUUGCUCUCAACUCUUCGAGUUCAUCCUUGAACUCGUCUAGUUCCUCUUCAUAUCAGUCGAGACAUUUUUUUUUCAACUCACUGAGUGGAUCCUUGAACUCGUCGAGUUCUUUGAUCUUCAAGUCUAUAAACACGUCCAACUCUCUGAGUCAUCUUCCAAACUAAACGGGUUUUCCUAGUAACAGAAAAGGUUGGGGAACCACGACCCAACUCGCCGAGUCGUAUAACGACUCGUCGAGUCCCCCAAAGUCCAAAUCCAUACAGUCGUUCUUAGUUGGGCUUAAUGCAUCUCAACAUAGAUCUGGUCUCCUAGGGUCGAUAUAACAUGUAAAGUUACAAACUUUACAUUCAUGAAUGGGUUAUUUAGCUCAAAAUCCCUAAAAAGUGGUUCAUAGGAUGAAUGGGACUCGUAUGGCCAUAAAGUUGGCAACUUAUGCCAUGGAUUCCCUCAAAGAUUCUGGAUCUGAAGUUAUUACUCCAAAGCAUGCUUGUAUCCAUGAAUAGUUCCAUAUUAUGCUCCAAAAAACCCUAAACUACCCCAUGAAAAGAUCUAGUAAACCAAUAGACUAGGUAUAGACUUUAUACCUCAAAUGAACUGGAAAUAGAACAUAAACUCUGGAUCUACUUGCUUCCUCUUGAACCCCCAAGCUUCCUCUUCCUUCUCAAACUUCAAAAUCACCAAGAACACACAACAGUGGCUCAAGAACACUCAAAAUGGGUUAGGGUUUCGUGACUAAGGUCUGGAGGUGAUGGAGGAUUUAGUUAAGGCCAGAUAAAGUGUUUAAAUAUGGUGCAAAUCCUAAAAAUUAGGGUUUCACUCUGGCAUAACUACUCGUCGAGUCGAAGCUACUCGACUCGUCGAGUAGACUUCAAUUCCUGCGUCCAGAAAUCCCAUUCCUACUCGACGAGUUUGGGGCCUCCAACUCGUCGAGUCCCUCUACAAAAAUGAAUAAUUAUUAUUAAAAUACAUACCAGGAAUCGGGUGUUACUCCCCCACUUAUUUUAGACUUCAUCCUCGAAGUCUGCUGUACCCGAGAAUAGCUCGAGGUAGUGCUCCCUCAUCUCGUCCUCCGACUGCCAAGUCCAUUCUGGGCCCUUACGGUGCUGCCAUUGCACCUUCACCAACUCGAACUUCUUGUUCCUCAGAUCCUUCAUCUUCAUGUCGAGGAUGGCUACCGGCCGCUUGAUGUAGUUCAAGCUGUCGUCCACCUGAAUAUCCUCUAGAGGUACCACUGUAGAUUCAUCUACCAGACACUUCCGUAGUUGGGAGACAUGAAAAGGACUGUGGAUCUGGCUAAGCUCGGCUGACAGAUCCAGCCUAUACGCCACCUUGCCAACCCGAGCUGCAACCCUGAAAGGACCAAUGUUCCGGGGGCCCAAUUUUCCCAGUUUCUUGAACCGGAUGACACCUUUCCAAGGUGACACCAUCAGGAGAACCAUAUCCUCGACCUAGAACUCCAGGUCCGAUCGGUGUCUCUCGGUGUAGCUCUUUCGCUGACUCUGAGUAGUUUGAAGCAUGCUCCUCACCUGCUGUAUCCUCUCCGUCGUCUUAAGUACCACUUUGGUACUCCCCAUGACCCUCUUUCCAACCUCACCCCAACAUAUCGGGGUUCUGCAUUUCCUCCCGUAUAACAUCUCGAAGGGAGGACGAUCGAUAAUCGCAUGGUAGCUAUUAUUGUAGGGAAACUCUUUCAAGGGAAGGUAGGUAUCCUAGUUACCACCAAAGUCAAGGACACAUGCCUGCAACAUAUCAUCAAGAGUCCGGAUGGUCCACUCACUCUGACCAUGCUUCUGCGGGUGGAGGCCGUGCUGAAGUGCAGACGAGUACCCAACGCGUCAUGAAAUUUUUUCCAGAAUCUGGAGGUAAAUUGCACAUCACAGUCAGAAAUCACAGAAAUUAGCACUCCGUGUCGAGCUACCACUUCUCUGAUGUAGAUAUAGUCAAGCUUCUCGGCUGAAAUGCUCUCCUGGAUAGGUAUGAAGUGGGUACUCUUGGUCAACCGAUCCAUGAUAACCCAAAUUGAAUCCACUCCCUGUGCGGUCCUAGCAAGUUUCAUGAUGAAAUCUGUAGUAAUAUCCUCCCACUUCCACAUAGGGAUAUCCAAUGGAUGCGUCUUGCCGUGAGGCCUUUAGUGCUCUGCAUUGACCUUCCUGUAGGUCAGGCAUCUCUCGAUGUACCAGGCUACAUCCCGCUUCAUGCAGGGCCACCAGUAGUCUGGGCGAAGAUCUCUGUACAUCUUCGUCGCCCCGGGAUGGAUGGAAAACUGGACUUGUGGGCCUCAUCCAUCAAAAUCUGCUACACUCUACCCCAGUAAGGAACCCAAACCCUCCCAUGUAGGGUCAGCAGCCUACGACUGUCAUAGUCAAACGAGGCCACUUGGCCUAUGAUCCACUCACACUCUCGGUGCUCCUCCUUCAUACCCUCAACCUGCACCUCUUUGAUCCGCUCCAAAAGUGGAGUCACCACCGUCAUCCUGUAGCAAAUGUCUUUGAUCGGGGAUGCCUUGCGGCUAAGCGCAUCGGCCACAACAUUGGCCUUCCCCGGGUGGUAGAGGAUCUCACAGUCAUAAUCCUUCACCACGUCUAGCCACCGACGCUUCCUCAUGUUCAGAUUCGGCUGAUCCAUGAGGUACCUCAAGCUCUUGUGAUCCGUGUAUAUGGUACAACGAACCCCAUAGAGGUAAUGUCACCAAAUCUUGAGGGCGACGACAACCACCCCCAACUCCAGAUCAUGCGUCCGGUAAUUCGCCUUGUGAGGCUUUAACUGCCUCGAGGUGUAAGCGAUGACGUGCCCCCUUUGCAUCAAUACUGCGCCUAAACCUGAGAUGGAUGCAUCACAGUACACUACAAAAUCCUCCACGCCCUCUGGAAGGGCUAGAUCGGCACCUCGCACAAUCUCUACCUCAAUGUAUCGAACGCUGCCUGUUGCUCAGGCCCCCAACGAAAUACGACGACCUUCUUCGUCAUCCGUGUCAAGGGUACCACUAUCUUGGAGAAAUCCUUUAUGAAUCAUCGGUAAUAUCCAGAUAAAGUGUUUAAAUAGGGUGCAAACCCUAAAAAGUAGGGUUUCUCUCUAGCAGACCUACUCGUCGAGUCAAGGCUUCUCGACUCGUCGAGUAGACUUCAAGUCCCGCGUCCAAAAAUCUCAUUCCUACUCGAAGCGUUUGGGGCCUCCAACUCGUCGAGUCCCUCUACAAAAAUGAAUAAUUCUUAUUAAAAUACGUACCAGGAACAGGGUAUUACACUAAUUUUGGGGUUUUGAGCUUUAUUUAAGGAUAUUAACCCUCUUGAGGCUCUUUUUAUCAUCAGCCUCAACCCUCUUGAGCAUCUAAAUCAAAACCCUAAUCCCUUAGAGCAAAUCUUGAGCCUUUUUGUGUGUUUUUGGUGCACUUGAAGAAGGAGAAGUCUAUCAUUGUGUAUUGGUGUGGCUCAAGCUUGAAGAUCCAGAGCUUUCGUCUCAUUUUCCAACUUCAAGAGGUAUAAAGGUCUCACCUUUAUGAUUCAUUGGGUUAGAUCUAGGGUAGCUUGUUGCUUUGCAUGCUUCUUGUACUAUGAAUUUGGUUCUUGUGAGUAAGAUCUACUUAAGGUUGUCAUUUCUUGUUGUUUAUGAGUUUCACAUGUCAUGAAUAUGGGUUAUUGGUUGCUAUCUUUCACCCCAUGAAAGGGUUUAAGGUCAUUAGAGGAUGAUAUGGAACUAGGGUUUGGUCUUGUGCUCCAUUAAGCCAUGCAAAGGCAUAAAGUCGGGAAAUUUAUCACUCUAGACAUUCAUUAGGACCAUAUCUGAGUUUUAUAUGGAUGGUAUUUAUGGAUUAAGAGAUAAAAUGAAAAAAGGACUUAUCAGCGUGCUGCGUUGUGGGUAAAAUAGGCUACGCCUAUCGUAGCCUUGUUUCUCUGUGAUUUCUGUUGAGCCCUCUACACGCGACAUAGAGGCAUGGUGUACACAGGACGCAACACCAGAAGGUGUAAUUACUCAUUUUUGGCCAUUAGUGUAAAACCUUGAUCCAGGUAUCACUCUAAAUUACUAGAUUGGUGCGGAAUCCCAACCAAGUGAAUGCAAUAAAUCGUAAAUAUGGAGUAAGAACACAAAGAUGAAUCUUUAGUGCAUACUAUAUUGAUUAAUAGUCUAGUACAUAAGACUCUCAAUAACUCUUGGUUCUCUCUCUCUCUCUCUCUCUCUCUCUCAAAACUCAAAACUCAAAUUCAAUCAACUAGAAUGGCCAUCCUUAAACACGGCUAAAACAAAACAAUAUAUACCUAUACCUAAUUAUAAAGGCCCAGCCCAAAGCCUAACCGAAAGCAUCAUUAUGCCCACCGAAUUCAUGGUGUUUUCAAUCCUAGACCGAGAACUCUGAAGGCUAUGUAAGGUAAAGUAUAAACCACAAAUCACGUCCUAACAAUCUCCCCCUUGGUUUAUAGCUUUCUUUUCUUUUCAAUCUUUUCUUUGUUCUUGACUUUCAACUUUUAUCUUCGAUUUCAUCACGACUUCAAGAUGAACAUAUGAAUUUCUAUAUGAAUGAAUUCAUCUUGAAUAGUUGGACUUCCUUUAAAAUUUGACCUUGAACGUACAUUGGAUAUAGAGACUUCUUGAAUAGGUUCUUGAAAAUCAGCACUUUCAGCUUUGGAAAACUUUGGUGAUAACAACAGAGAGACCAAUUCUUUUGGAUCAUUUCAGCAGGUUCAUAGAUAGCAACAAAUUGAUUGAGGAUGCUUUAAUGCAAUUCGUCACAUAACUUCAAAUACAACUUCACCUUCAUUCUGGGGUUGAAAGGUUGUGUGUUGAAAAAUAAACUUCACUUUUUGUUCCUUCGAAUGAAUAUUCUUCAUCGAUCGUAGAUGCGUCUUGAAAAGUAACCAUGACUUAAAAUCCCUGUGGAUCACAGAAUCAUAAAGACCCUUCUCACCAUAGUUGUUCAAGGACCCAACCUUGGCUCAGAUGGAGACUACUCGUAGUAUCUUUGUGAACACGAAGGAACACACUGCGAUUUUUUGAGUAUAUGAUAACUACUCAUGGCUAUUUUUGAUGUUAGCCCCUGCAUAUCCUUGAUCAAAGAUCUCAAUACAGUUUUUCAAUUUAAGAAGUUAACUUGGCCCUUGGCGAGACGUUAAAUGGUUUUUGAAUCUCAGCUGAGUGUACCAUUCUAGUGCCAGUGAGAUUUAAUUAGGAAUAGCUCACAAAACCAUCGUGUGACAAAAGAAUCUGAAGACAUAUUUUCACAGUUUAGCAUGACACGAGGUCAAGGUCCUUUGGCGGGACAUUCAACGAUAAUCGUGCCUUGCGAGGUGCAUCACCCUAGUACCAAUAACUGUUAAUUCCUUACCUGUAGAGAAUGUAUCCGAGAAUACAUUUGAGUCUCCAUAGAUUUGCAUGACAAAAAGAAUGUCAAGACCCUGGGUGAGAUGUUCAACGAUAUCUAUUUACCGGUUGGGUGAAUCGCCCUGGCGCCAUGACAGUUCUUAGGUAGAGAUAACCGACAAGACCAAUUUUGAUAAUCUGUUCCAUUUCAAACUUUCAAUUCCUUAAAUACGACAAUUCUUAGAAAUAAACUGCCUAACCGACAAUUUGUACGGUUUCAUGCCUUCAAUUCCUUGUGAAAGUAGUGUGAAUUGUAAUUCCGUAAAUUCCUUUCAAGAUCUCUUCUUCUUUUACAUUUGCGUUUUAAGACAAAUGAAAUUUUUGAGAUAAAAAAUAAAAAUAAAAUAAACUUAGCACAUAAUAAAAUUAACUAAGAAAAAAACAAAAUUAAAAUACGCUCAAAAGCAAUAAAAAUAUUUUUGACUUUUUUAUUUUUCUAAAACAGAAAUAAAAUAAAUGUAUAUUUGGAAUUUUUGAAUUUUAGGAUUUUUGUUUUGUUUUAAUUCUCCCCCUAAAUUUGUGCAUAGAGGAGAAAGAAAGAAAAAAUAUGAAUAAAUUUAAAUAAAAGAAAAAUGUAAUAAACAAAUUCAAAUAGAACAAAAACUUUUGGGGAUCAAAUGUUAUGAAGCAAAUUAAUGAGGUUUUCUAUGUUCAAAUGAGUUCACAUUGUCUAGUCCAUUAGUCUUAAUCCUUUAUGUCUACAAACACAUUAAACACAUAGUUUAGACAAUUCAGCUUUAGUGCUUUACACGUAUUUCAUUUGCCCUUUAUCACCAAGUCAUAUCACUUCCCAAAAGAUUGUCACAAAAUUCCUUUCCUAAAAGUAAAACAAAAUGAAAGAGAAUAAGAAAUACUAAAUAAAAAUGAAAAGAAAUUUCAGUCUUCGAAACGUAUCAUCUUAAGAAAUCCCACAAUCACGAUCUUGAUUUUAAAAAAAUAGGUUUUUGGACGAUUGAAAGUCAGCAUUAUUGUCAUAGAGAAUAGUAGAGUCGGAAAAUUCAAACCGUAAUUCAGCAAUGGAUGUAAUCGUCAAUUAUGAUCUUUCCUUUUCCUUUCCCGCAAAGGAAACAUGCUCUCCAUUAAAAAUCUGAAUGUCAUGCAAAUGAGAGAUGUACCCUAUCAUGUGCUUGGAAAAGCCAUUAUCCACAUUCCGAAGUCUGAUGAUAUUCAUCCAUAGCUGCUCCGGCACGAAGUGCGGGAUUAAUUGGUUUUGGGAACCCAGUCCAUUUUGAAACUGGUUUGACCUUUGCCAUCUACGCAUGAUACGCGUUCCCAGGUCAUAUCCUGUUUAUCAAACACAAAAAUGAAGAUAUGUUAGAAUUUUUAGGUGAUUUGGGAGUGGAAACUUUUGGUACCUAUCUAUAGUCAGUUUUAACCAUUUUCUUGUUUAAACGGAUCGAUGCUUCAACACUUGUUUUGGAGCUUGAGACCGAUCUCCGAGAUGAAUUUGACCUUAUUGAUCUUGGUUUGAUUGAACUAUUUCUCAAAUCAGAUCUCUUGUAGGACAUGACCUUUUUUUUCUUGAGAGUCUGAUUUUUGGUCUUGGCAGUAUUCUAGUUACCAUCACGUGAUCUCGAGGAGUGUCUAUUGGACGAUCUUCCUCGAGAUAUGUUCUGCCUACCUUGGACAUGAUUUGGACAAUUUCUGGCAAUGUGACCAGGAAUUCCACAGUUAAAUCAGGUUUGUCUUUUGAAAGGAAUACAUUCAGAACUUGGCCCCCAUCCAACUGAAUUUCCACAAGUACAAGCACAUUGUUUCACAACUUUAUGUGGCCUAAGAUUGUUAGCAGUGUUAUCACAAGCCUUUGAAGCAACAUUAGAUAAAGUUUUAGUUUUUGAAGAGUUUUUAUUAAAACUAGUAUUAUCUUUGUUUUUCUUGCACCCGUCUUGCACUGUUACUUUCUCUGCACAUGAAGUAGAAACAUUAGUAUCGUUCACCUCAAUAUUCUCAAUUUUGCUGGAUUGUUCAGUCCUAACUGAAACAGUGACAGUAGACUGACAAUGUUGAACAUAUUUUCUGUCUUUAUGGUUUCAGAAGCUGGAGUAUAGUUAUCAUUGAAAGGAGGUGGUACACUAUAAUACCCUAGACCCUCACCCUGUUUGUCUUUCCACUUUAAUUUUUUUUCUAUCAUUGACUCAACAAUCUCACUUGACACAUCGAAGUUCUUAAAAUUAAAGUCAACAUCCUUAAAUAUAGCCUUUAAUGCAUCAAGUUCGAUUGUUAAUUUUGUAAUUUUCUCUUUGGCAGAACGAUAGUGAAAACAUUUGGUGCUAUAUUCUUCUUUAAUCAUGUUUAAAUCUUUAGUUUGUGUUUCUAGUUUUUCUUUAAGCGGUUUAUUUACUUUCUUGAUUUCAUAUAUUUCAUUUUUAAGGUAAAAAACCUCUCUAACUAAUAAUUCAUUUUGUUCACGAUAUUUAUUUAUUUUACCUUCACAGGACUGAGAGCAUGAAGCUUCACUAACCUCCUUGGUACUGUUGUAAGAAGUCAUUAUUUUCCAGCAAAAAGGAAUCUGAUUGUGUAAUUUGAUUUUGACCGAAAACCAAGAUAAAUACCCUUUGACAGAAAACCUUGAAAGUCAACCAGUUUGACCGAAAACAGUUGACCGAGAACCCUAUUUCUUGGCUGAGAACUCUUCCAAGCCGAGAGCCCUAAAUCUCGUUACUGAGAACGCUAUUCAGCUGCUGAGAACACCAAAACUUAACCGAGAACUUGAAGUUUGCCGCCAAAAACAUCCAUACCUAAUCGAAAACGUCCAAAAACACUAGAAACACAAAACUGGUUAUUUAUCAAGACCAAUUUCGAUCAAAGUCUCUAAUGUAGUGAAGAACACAAAGAGCAGUCGCAACAAUUUUUGUGAAAAAGAACGCAAAACACCAAAAUCACCAAGAAAAUCUCCAAGAAACGUUUAAUAUUUAGCCAAUUCGAGUGAUACCAAUCCUUGCUCUGAUACCACUUGUAAAACCUUGAUAUAGGUAUCAAUCUAACUCACUAGAUUGGUGCGGAAUCCCAACCAAGUGAAUGCCAUAAAUCGUAAAUAUGGAGUAAGAACACAAAUAUGAAUCUUCAAUGCACACUAUAUUGAUUAAUAGACUAGUACAUAAGACUCUCAGUAAUUCUCGGUUCUCUCUAUCUCUCUCAAAACUCGAAAUCAAUCAACUAGAAUGACCAACCUUAUACACGGCUGAAACAAAACAAUAUAUAACUAGACCUAAGUACAAAGGCCCAGCCCAAAGCCCUACCAAAAGCAUCAUUAAGCCCACCGAAAUCACAUGGCGAUUUAGGUCCAAACACCACCGAAUUCAUGGUGUUUUCGGUCCUAGACCGAGAACUCUAAAGGCUAUGUAAAGUAAAGUAUAAACCACAAAUCAUGUCCUAAUAAUUAGAUCACAUUUGGAAAGGUAAAAUGGUCUUUUACUCUAGGGAAGGAAAGUAUGUAGUGGACCCUUGAUUAUGGAUAAUCACCUUAAUUGCUAAUUAGGGUUGUGUUGAACAUGUUUAGUGUAUGGAUUUUACAUAGCAGCAGCUUAAGUGUAAGGUUAUCUAACUACCGAUCGAGGUGAUUUUUCUCACUAUACUGUAGGACACUAGGUGUCGAAUGUGAUUGUUGUCUUUGUGAGUCUUGAUGUAUGCCUGUAUGCCUGUAUGUUAUAUGUAUGGGAGGUGAAAUAGACCUAAGGGUGAAAUAGAUCCGUUCGGUUCACAAAUACCAAUUUAGUUGAAAUAGAUUUGGGGGUGAAAUAGACCCGUUCGGUUGAAAAAUACCGAUUGAGUUGAAAUAGAAUCGGGGUUGAAAUAGACCCGUUCGGAUGAAAAAUACCGAUUGAGUUGAAAUAUACUUGGGGGUGAAAUAUACUCGGGGCUGAAAUAGACCCGUUAUAGCUUUGAGUUGAUAUGUAUGUAUGGUAUAUGGUAUUUUGGGGAACUCACUGAGCUUUGUGCUUACAAUUUCAUGUUUGUGGUUUCAUGUACUUCCGAUUCCAAGGGGAAGAGCUUGACAUGAUUGUACCACAUCCACCAAUGUUCUAUGUUAUUUGACUUGUUUUGUACUCUAAUCACUAUAUGACAUGUUUUUAUACUCUAAUGUGCUUUUGGAUUGAAUGAAUGGUUGUUUUUCAAUUGACUUAAAGACAACUUUUUACUUAGAGUUUUUCUAGAUGUUACAAGUUGGUAUCAGAGCCUUGGUUUAUGGGAUUCAGGCACACUCUCGGGUAUGUCUGGACUCAAACUAGGGAAUUGGUGAUCCUUCUAAAAUAAAACAAAUUUUCUAAAAAGAUUUUUAUAAAAAGAAAAGGGUGUGAUGCAUGCAAUCAACCGAGCUCAAGUAAGUGAUUCCCAAAAUACCCAUACAUCUUGUUAAGUUAUGUUAUUCAUGCUAGGAGUUAGCAUAAAGAUAUAUUUGUUGGAUUAGGUGUCUAAGCCCAUUACUAUAAUUGGUAUAAACUUGAAUUGAUGGUAGCACAGUCCUUUUAGGUUGCCUUCAAACCUGGCAAUUGAAUAGGAUAACUUUUAAAGAAAAGAAUGAUUUAUUACUUUAUUACUUGGUUAAUAAAUUAAUUAGAAAUCAAAAUAAAUGGUUUAUUAAUGUAUUAUAAAAAUAAUAUAUUAAUAAUAAAUGAUAUUGUUUAAUUAAUAUUUAAUCAAAAAUUAAUUUGGAAUUUAUUUUGGGAUUAAAGGAAUUAAUUGAAACUGUAGGGACUAAAGGUGAUAAUGUUCAAUAGUUGAACAUUGGGCAAUUCUAGAACCUACGUAUAGUAGGGGGAAUGGAUUCUAGAUGCUCCUAGGGUUUCCUUGGGCUCUAAGGGUGCCUUAGAUUCCUGAGGGAGGAAGUUAAGGUAUUAGGGUUAUCUUGGAUACACCUACCUUACCAAUACUUUCAUAACACCUAUAUAAACCCUCCUUAGGGUUAAAUUUCGGCCGAACCCUUCAUUGUAAGUUCUUGGCCGAAAUUUUGAUCUAUUCCUCUCUCUCUCUCUCUAUAUAGUAUUCCUUGGUUGCUUGAGUUUGUUUGUGAACCAUUAUAGGUGCGACACCUGUGGCUCUUGCUACCAAAGGUCUUUCAAGCAAGGAUUCAAGAUUGUUUACAAUAACAAUAUUAAAGGUAUGUAUCAUAACCCUUUAUGUGAAUUUUGAUUAUACACUAGGGGUCUAGGGUUUAUAUUUUGUUGUUCAUUUUUGUAUGUUCAAUUAGAGAAAACGUAGAUCUUCAAUUAGGGUUGCAUGCACACAUAGGAUUGUAUGUUUUGCUUAAAACCCAUCAGUGGUAUCGGAGACAUGUUUUGUUUUCUAUUGAAUUGAUACUAAUAUGAACUUAAAAAAAAGGAGGAGAAAAUAGAAUCGUCAUUCUGUUCUUCGAACUCGUCGAUUUGUUUCUUCAGACUCAACGUGUUGGACUGCAACUUGGCGAGUUGGUCCUCCAACUCGGCGAGUUUGUGCGUCAGAUCCUGAUUUUGGCUUUUCUUGUCUAACUUGAUUUAUUUGGUUAAUAUUUGGUAAUUAUCUUUUAUUAAAUCUACCAUAAUCCGAUUUUUGGUAAUAUUAGAUAAUUAAAUAUGACCUAAAUGUUAGGAGAUAAUUAUGAAUUAGAUAAUGUUGAUUUUAUUUGAUUAUAAUUAUCCUUAUGGAUAUGAUUAAUAAUUACUUGCUUCAUUAAAGGAUAAGUAAUAUAUCCAUAAUUGGUUACUAAAUAAUUAAUUAGAUUAUUAAUUAAAGAUAAUUUUAGGGUUGCUUGAAAUUUAAAUUAAAAAGUUUAAUUUUUGAAAUUUAAAAUGUAAACCCUAAUUUACAUUCUUAUGGAUUUUGUUAAUAAUUUAAUUAAAGGAUAAUUAAUAAUGUAACAUCCGAGUCACCAGGUAUUUCCCUUGAUUUAUUUAAGUUCUUAAAUAUUGAAACUUUGUGAAAGGCAGUACGUUGGGGUACAUAGUGUACGCGCGUCGUACAUGAUAGAUGCGCGAAGCGGGGGGAGCCUCAUGUAGGCUGGGCGUAACCUGUCUAGUUGCAAACACUAAAUUUUAGGGUUAGCACCAUAUAUAAUGACAUUAACUCCAUCCCAAACCUCAUUCCCUCAGCCUCCAUUGUCUCUAAAGAGUAGAAAUCGAACCAUAAACCUCUUGCAUGCUUUGUGAGCUAAUUUGGUGCACUUUUGGGUGAUUUUUGGUGGUUUUGAAGAAGAAGAAGUUAGAAGAAGGAGUAAGAACGUGGGAGGAGCUUGUAGAUCUAGGAUUUUAGCAUCUUUUCUGACUCAUUUGAGGUAUCAAGCUUCAAACUUGACCAUUGCAUGCUUAGUUUUAGUUUUAGGGUAUUUUAUGAGACAUUUUGACUCCAAAGUUGAGAUUUCUUGUGUUCUGGUAGUUUUAGACCAUUAAAGUUGUCCUUUUGAGCUCUUAGAAGCAUUUAGAGUCAUAAAAAUUAGAACUUGAUGGUUAAGUCACAACCAUGCAAGUGUUAGAUGGUCACAAAGUGUGUUUAAGGACUUAAAUCAUGUCUUAACCCCCAUACAUGCAUGCAAAGACAUAAAGUUUGUAACUUUAUGGCUUAGGACGUCUUAAAGGACCUGGAUCUAUGUUUUAGAUGUUAGGACUUAAUGGAUUAAGUCACAAAAGGAGUUUUAAAGAAUCUGGCCAAUACGUUGGGUGUACCCCUGGUACGCUGCGCGUACUGGGUCAACCUCCCCGAAGUGGUCAAGACCAGUGUACGUUGGGCGUAUGUGCCAGGUACGCCGCACGUACACAUGCAAAAUGGAUAAAUGGGUAUUUGGGCCUUAGGAUGUUGGGCCUGAAAAUAGUUGGGCCUCAUGGCCCAUUGUGGUGUAAGGCUAAUGGGCCUAGACCUAAGAUUUAUCGUAUUGGGCCUUAAUAAGCCUUGAAACUUAAAUGAAUGGACUUGGGCCUUAAUUUAAUUAGGAGUUGGGUCUUGGGAGAAAGAGGCCCAAUAGGCUAAGGAUUGGGAAACCUUACCUUGGGACAUGAAUUAGAAGUUUGGGCCAUAAGGGAGUUCUACGUGGACCCAAUGACUGACUAGGGAAUUUAUUAUGCUUUAGGGAUAUGAGUUAUGAGCUAGUCGAGGAGUAUGAUUUUGGCAUACACAGUGAGGUGAGUCUCCCUUCUUAGAAACCGUCGGUCGAAGCCACCAAUGCCAGCCCACUAGUAUUGAUAUGACUUAGUAAUUGUCUUUUUGAUAAUUAUUAAGGUAGUAUGUCUUGUUUGAUGUUUACGUAUGAUAUGCAUGAUUUAUGUGGUAGUGGUAGGGGUGAAAUAGACCCCGUAUUCAGUUGAAAUAAAACCGAUGGGUAGGUCGGGCACCCAGGUAUGCCUGACAGGGGUAGGUUGGACACCCCGGUAUGUCUGAUAUGGGUAGGUUGAGCACCCAGGUACGCUCAGCAGGGUAGGUCAGGCAGCCAGAUAUGCCUGACAGUAUGUUUAUGAUUUGUAUAUGGUGUGGUGGGGGAAACUCACUAAGCUUUGUGCUUACGGUUUUCAUUUUUGGUUUCAGGUACUUCCAGCUCGAAGGGGAAAGGGCUGAACGGGUAUCCACUCUUACCCGCCACUCUCUUGACUAGUGGAGGGUCGUUAGCUGAACAGGUUUGAUAGGACACUUAAUUCUCAUUAAUAAGUAUAAUGGAUUAUAAAGUAACUAAAUCAUUUUUCUAAAAAUCCCACUCUUAGUUACUUUAGGAAAAAUGUGAAUUAUGCUAACCCAUUAAAUUGCACAUUUCACCUUAUUAGUCGUUAGUGGAGUGUGUGUGGUUAACCAACACACUAAUAUGGGACUAAUAUUGUUGGAAAUGGGUAUCUCUUAAAUUAUCAUUGAAUUAAUGGAGCACAUGUGGUUAAGCGACACGUUAAUUUCAGAUGAUAAAUGACAUCGAGGGUACCAAGUUAAUUUGCAUGGUUAUUCACAUCUCGUUUGUGAUCCUCGGCAUCCCAGUCACAAAACGAGAGCAUAAUCGAGAUUAAACAUGUCAUUGAAUAGUUUAAUGAAUCUCAAAAGAUCUAGGAGUUUCAUUAUAUUGAAACUGGUAAAUGCUUACCUACCUAAAAUAGAUUCGAAUUUGCUUAUGAUAUCCCUUUUCAGAAUUCGAAUUGAAAAUAUGGAUCCUAGAAUUAAUUUAAAUUGUUUGGGUUAACAAUCAAGGAUUAAAAUCAAUUAACUUGAAAUCUUUUCUCCCUUUAUAGAUGUCGAGUUCAGACAACAAUGGUUUUCCUCGUCCUCCUGGAAAUGUUAUCCCUUCUGAAGAUGAUCUUCCACAUGUUGAUCAAGGUGAAAGAAUAUUCCCUUUUUCAAGCAAUGGUGGAAUUGGAAAUCAUGCUUCUCCAACUCUUCCUACACCUGCUCCAAUGACUCUCCCUAAGUCAUGUCUUAUUCAAGUUGAAAAGUACGAAACUACUCAAGCCCUAUUGGCUAGUAAACAUCAAGAUGACAAGUCUAUGUGUGCGCAUGUUCUAAAAAUGAAAUCGCAUAUUGACAUAUUGGGGAUUUUGGGUGUCGUUUUCCCAAGGGAGUUAGCCAUUGAUUAGGUUCUACUUUCGCUUCCUGACUCAUAUAGUUAGUUCAUUAAAGACUUCUAUGAGAGGGACCACGACGUGACCCUAAUCUAUCUGACAUAUAUGUUGAUUGUUGCUGAAGCAAAAAUGCUUAAGAGCACAAAUCAAGUGAAUAUGUUUGAAGGAUCUGCCUCCUAAGUUUCCAUGUAUAUUGAAAAUGGUAACAUUGGUAGUCCAGAAAAGGUUUCUCUUCCCAAUGGAAAGGGAUCGGCCAAGGUCAAACCGUUUAACCAUAUAGUAAAGAGAAAGGCUAAUCCUGAGAUAGUCCCAUGUGCAAUUCUUGAAAAAAUCCAUAUGUUUCUAUUGACAAUUGAAGGGGCAUUGGAUACGAAGCUACCUAGAAUACCUAAAAGAUCUCAGAGAUGGUAAAGUCAAGUCGUAUGACUCUACUUUAGGUACAUCCACUAUCUAGCUCGACUUUAUUAAGUUCAUAUUCAUAGAUUCUUAAUACAUGAUGUGAUAGUCACAUUUUGAUGUUUUUGCAGGAUCUAAGAGAAAGAAGGAAGUUUGAGAAGAGUAAGUUGAAUCUGAUCAUGAGAGAUGGAUUUCGGUCACAUGGUCCGAUGAUCAAAUUUUGGAAUCUGUUGCAUAAGAGUUAUGAUAGAUUAAUAGAUUUCUUAGGAAAUAUCUAGAAACAUAGUUUUCAUAUUUUUGCAUUGUAAGGACAAAAUUUUCCGCAUAUUAUCAAUAAAGUGAAUUUCUUGAUUUAUUUACUUUGUAUUUCCUUACAAUGGAAUUUAUGAAAAUGGGUGGUUACAUUUCAAUUAUUAGCAAUGUUAAAUGUGGAUUAUUCUUAAUUAUGUCGUUUGUGGAAAUGUCAUAAUCCACCAAGUGAAAAGAAAUUCUCAUCACCCAAGUUUCAGUUGGAUAGAAACUUGGAGUCAUACAAUUUGUAUUGUGUGAUGUAUGAGAAUCUUGAUCAUUGGAAGAUCAUGACUAAUUCUUUGAUCACAUGUUUAUGUGAGUCAAGUGAAAGACUAAAGGAUCUAGUACAAAUUGAUACGGACUAUUUAGAUCCACCACAAAGAACGAUAUCUCUAUUCAUCAUGGUUUACCGAUGUUUCAGUGAACAUGGUUGUGUUUAUAAGAUUAAUCGUAAUUCUAACACCUUGAAAAGUUUUCAAAGUGUAAUAGAACGAGUAAGAAUAAUCUAUUAGGCAGAAAGAUAAAGGUUUCUCCAAUCUGAAAGAAAGGAGAGUACUUUAGUAUCAUGUCAGUGGGAGUCUUAUUGAUCCUGAAGAGUUUCAGGAGUCAAUUAAGAAUAAACCUUUUAGUUAUCACUAGAACACGACUUAAGGUUGAUAGUUCUCAUUCGACUUCAAAAGGCAUAGCACAUUGGUGAAUGGAAGUGAGGUUCUUAACAACACGAAAUCACUGGUAGGCCCUUGUGCUAACAGAGGGCAAGAAAUUAAGAACAAGCUAGUUCAGUCCAUGAAAGGAAAAACCUAAAAUUGAUUUUGGUUUUUUCCUCAACCUUAUCUUAUGAUUGUAGGUUGUAAUUGCUAAAUUCACAUGGAUAGGAACGCAUACACCAUAAAUUCUAGGUGGCAAAAGGUUUCGCUCUAAUUCAUGAAGAUGAUUAUGAGGAAACACUUUAUACUAGUAGAUUUUAAAGAUUUGAUAUAUAUCAUUAUGAUUAGUGGUUGUGAUAAUUGCAUUCUCAAAUUCGAAAUAUGAUUACGACAUCCCUUUUCAUAGUGUGAAUUGUGAGAAAUGGAAAGAAAUAAUUUGAACGUUCAGGACUUAUAGUUAUAAGUUCUGAAAGGGUUUAAACACACACAUAUGCUAUCUGAUGAAGGUGUAUGAACUUGAGAAGUCUAGUUGAAGACUUAUCGAAGCAUUACAUACUAGCAAUCUGCACUUUAGUAAGAAAGUCAAAAAGUGUUGAUUUUUUGAAGUCUUGUUAAUUUCUAGGUACAUGUCAAAGCUAGUGGGAGCAUAAUUGUUAUGCAGAUACAAGCAUAAUUGUUAUGCUAGUAGAAGCGUAAAUGUUAUUCUAAGUGUUGCAAGUUGGCAAUACUACUUGUAGGAAACAAAGUUUACAAAUUUGCAAGUUGCAAAGUUUGAGAAUUGUAUCGUUAUGAUAGGAUUUGGGGAGAGGGCGAUCAUACUUCAUUUCAAUCUAAAAGUUUAGAUUAAAAGUUUUAAUGGAACUUAGUAUUGGACAUAUAUGAAUAUCAUUUUGAAAUGAUUCAACAUAAGAAAUUAAAUAUAUAUGGAAAUAUUACAGCAAGAGACUGAUCAAGUAUCAUGUCUUUAUGUGAGACAUUAUAUGUCGAAUCCCAUAUGUCUUGGAUAUUGGAUUGAUUACAUAUGCUAUAAUAUUCACUUGUUUUGAUUUUCCAAAUGCCUAGGGCAUUGAGAGAGAAAAAGGACUAGAAGAAGGUGUGACUAAAGUUGUUGAACAACUGUCAAGAACACUCUGAGGUUUACUGAAGAUUGGUUGCUUUUGGACAGUUGGAAGCAUAGUAUUAAUUUGGACCGACCAUAUUGACAUAAUUCUGAAUGAAGGUGACUCUUGUUUGGAAUUAGAAACCUUAACGCAAGGAAGCUGUUCAAGGAGUUACCUUGAAUUUGAUACUUCAUUACCAUGAAAUUGUUUUAGUAACAACGUUUCAAUCACUACUAGAAACCAUACCUUUAAUGACACACUUUUUAUGAAAAAAAACACGGAGGGCGCUUAUGUUAAAGUUGUAUCGUCUAGAAAUGUCGCUUUAUAAUUUUACAAACGUGCUCUUCAGCAACUAGCAGCAGGAAAAAGGAAAUAAAAAAAUUAGAAAACCCGCCUUCCUUCCUUGUUUCCCCUCUUUAGCUAUGGGUGUGCUCUUUGACCACAAAAAUCUUCUCCGGUCUUCAUCCGCCUCCCUACAUCGAGUGUUACUUGCUUCUUUCCCUUGCACUCCGACCCCCGCCACCGAUUCUUCCCCGUUCGUUGACAACGAUCAAGGCUCGUUUACUUCUACCCACUGGAACCACCAUAUCUCCCACUCGAUGUUGAAAUUGUUAGAAAAAGCCUUAAUUUAGUAUUAUACUCUCAUGUCUCAAUAUUAGAAUGCAAAUCCUGAUUCUCGUUUGUUUCUUAUUCCCCUCAGAUAAAUCGAAAAAGGGGAAUUAGAAUGACGAGGUAGCAAGAGUUUUGGUCCGGUGGUCGUGGUUCAUCUAUCGAGCAAGGAAGAUGGGAACGCAAGCAGCCAUGGUGGCUCGAUGAUGGCAAUCAAUCAAGAAAGGGGAAGCACCUCUGGUGCGGGAUCGAUUUGACAAAAGGAGAAGGGAGAAGCAGCGACGCUUCUCUUGUCUGCCGCAGCUAGGGGGCGCUCCGGCGGUCUCCUUGGCUGUUCUUCCUUGUCGCCAACAGAUUACAUGUAGGGAGGGGACUCAAAUAGUCCGAUGGAGCAGGGCAAGUAGCGACUGGUAGAUCGGGACGAUCGAUCUAUUCGUGAGGAGGAGGAGGAAAUUAUCGGUUCCCGGUGAGCCUUCCUUGGCUUCUUAGACUCCGUCAUCGGUAGAAAUCGGGGUAAACAAUUCGGGUUCUUGUCUGAUUUCGAUGAAAUAAACGGAGGGAGGAAAGGUUUGGGUGGAGGUCUGAUCGAUGAAAACAUUGGAGCCUUUUGGUCUCGCCGGAUGCUACUCCAUCUCCCGUGGUCGUUGAGAACGAAGGGGAGGACCUCUGGGGUUUGGAUAGAUCGAAGGAAGAAGAAUGAAGUUGUGGUCUUCGGUGAUUGAAGGUAAACGGAUGGGGUUUUCUUGAACCUCACAGUUCGUAUUCUUUCGUAGAUUUAAUGCUUUCCAUGAAUCUUUUUUUCUUGCCGUGUUUGCACUUUAAAUUAGGCUUUAUGUAAAAUUGCAAUAUUCGUUUAUUUGUUGAUGAGAUUUAGGGUUUUAAUCGUGUUGUUAUUAGGGGUUGUUUUUACUUGUGUUAUAUGAUCCCCUUUAACUAAGUCUAGAAAGUUUAUUUGCAAUCUUUGGAUUCAUGUUUUUUUAAAGAAAAUUGAACUCUUCACCUUGUUUGCGUAGGCUAAGAACACACGUAGAUGUCCUGUAUAUAUUUUAAUUGUGUUGACUUCAGGGGUUAUAUGGUUUUUUUACUUGUAUUAUAUGAUUCCCAUUAACUAAGUGUAGAAAGUUAAUUAUUCUUUCUUCAGAUUCUUGUUCCCUUAAAGAAAACAAUGAUCUGUUCACAUUGUCUGCUACUCUGCUUAGGCUGAAUAGACACGUAGAUGAUCAUGUAUGGUUCCAAAUUCACUUCAAUUCAUGUUGAAUUGCAAAGUUGAUUUGUAGAUGAGAUUUAGGGUUUUAAGCUUGUUAUUUUCAGGGGUUAUUUGGAUAUUUUUACCUGUUAUAUGAUCCCCUUUAACAAAGUGUAGAAAAUUGAUUGUGCAUUCUAUAGAUUCAUAUUCCUUUAAAGAAAAAUGAUCUAUUCACCUUGUCUCCUUAGGCUAAGCAGUAGUCAAGUCUGUACAUUUUCUUUAAAUAUACAUUUAUAUUACAUCUUGUCGUUUGCAGGCCUUUGAAAAGUUUACCAAACCUAUGCUUGGUAGGAAAGAGCUUCUCAAGAAGACGCUUAAAAAAACUGCAAAUGCAUGGAAGUUGAUUGUUAAUCUUCGACUAUCUGGUAAUAUUUACUUUAAUGAAGCAAAGCUGACUAUUUUCUCAUAUAACACUUUCACCAUUUUCACUUGGCUAUGCACUUUUUGUUAAUCUCAGAAGAAGAAGCCAAAUGGUUGCGAUUUUAUAUUGAUGAGCCUGCUUAUACUGAUCUUCACUGGGUAAUUUCUUGUCCUUCCCAAGUCCCAAGUCUUAGUUAUGAACAUGCUUAUGGAUGUUUGUGUGGAGAUUUUCAUUUUCUUAUCAACCACAAAUGAUAACUUUGCACAUACAAUGGAAUGGAUCUAUGUCCCUGCUGAAACUAUAUAGACGAUUACUUUUAUCUUCAAUGAUUAACAAAAAGACUGUGCUCUAUGAUUUCUUUGGGAAUGUUCAUCCCAGCCAUAGAAGGACAAGGCACUGAGGAACAAAAACAGAAAUGGUUUCCAUUGGCCCAAAAGAUGCAAAUUAUUGGUUGUUAUGCAAAAACAGAACUUGGUCAUGGAUCCAAUGUUCAAGGUCUUGAAACAACUUCAACAUUUGAUCCCCAAACGGACGAGUUUGUCCUUCACAGUCCUACUUUAACUUCAAGCAAAGUAAGUAACAUGAAAUGGAUUGUUCUUUUAUAAAGAUCCCCCCUUUUCUCUUUGUUUUUCCACUUUUUGAUAUUUUUUCUUAUUUUCUAAUUCAACUUUGUUUCCACUCUCUUAAUCUUUUCUUUAGUGGUGGCCUAGUGGAUUGGGGAAAGUGUCAAGAUCUCAUCUACAACACCACCAAUAAUAUUCAAAGGCUGACUAUCCAAUAAUAUUUUUAGCCCUGGUGAUAAGUUGCUUGUUCCAUCUUUAGCUGCUGCAGCAAGGGCAGGGAAAUCAAAGGUAAUUUGAAAUUCGGCUAUAUGUUUAAUGAAUCUUUAUUUAAUUGGAAUUGAUUUUAAUUUUUACAUUUUGUGGUUGAUUUUUGGAUCACCAGUUCAUUAUAGGGGAUGGAACAAACAUUUAUGAUUUCACUUAUGUUGAGAAUGUUGCACAUGCUCAUGUAUGUGCUGAAAGAGCUCUAGCUUUAGAUGGAUCUGCAUCAAAGGGAGCUGCAGGAGAGGUAAUUUAAAUAAACCUUUUCAAUUUUACUUGAGAUAAUAUAUGAAGUUUUAAUUAUUUUUUAAUUUUUCAGGCUUACUUUAUAACGAAUAUGGAACCAAUACAAUUUUCGGAGUUCAUGUCACUUAUUCUUGUAGGGCUUGGGUAUGAAAGGUAUAUUCUUCUUAUUGGUUUGUUUUCAUGGAAAGAUUAAGCUCCACUUUGUCUUUAUUUUUGAUUUUAUGUAGUUUGCAAGCCAAGAAUCAAGAUUGCUGCAUCUGUGAUGAUGCCUAUUGCAAAAAUGGUGGAACGUACUUACUCUGUCUGUUAAAUCCAACAUCUGCCUCAGCACCACCAUGUACAUGUGUAUAAAGGUAACUUAAUUAGUUUUGUAAAUUGUAAUUCGACUUUAUCUAUCCUUCCUAUAGAUAUAGAAUUUUUAUGAUCAUUUAGCUACAUGGUCAUUCUUUCUAGCAUUUGACAUGGUUUGAUGUGUGAUUUUGCCAUUAUGCAGCUUGUGAAGGGGCAGAAUUGGUUUUCCAUAUGGUUGCACCUGAUUCCUCCAUUAAUAACUACCAGCUGCAUCAUUCAAUCAAUGUUCAAGGUAAAAAGAAAGAUAAUAAACAAAGUUAGUUAAUUUCUAAGAGAGUAUUAACUUUUGUUUUUGGAUUUACAGGUACUAAGAACAUAAUUGAUGCUUGUACUAAACUUAAUGUGAAGAGGCUUAUCUAUACAAGUUCUCCUAGUGUGGUUUUGAUGGGAUACAUGGAAUAUAUAAUGGAGAAGAAUCAUUGCCAUAUCCUUCUAAGCAUAAUGAUUCGUAUUUUGAAACUAAAGCUGAGGGUGAGGCACUAGUUAUCAAGGCUAAUGGGGUGAAUGGUCUUUUAACAUGUUGCAUUCGUCCUAGUAGUAUUUUUGGCCCUGGUGAUAAGUUACUUGUUCCCUCUUUAGUUGCUGCAGCAAGGGCAGGGAAAUCAAAGGUAAUCUGAAAUUCGAUUAUAUAAGUUUUUAAUGAAUCUCUAUUUAAUUGAAAUUGAUUUUAAUUUUUACAUUCUUUGGUUGAUUUUUGGAUUACCAGUUUAUUAUUGAAAUUCGAGAAGCUUUAGAUGUGGUGAUUGAUAGAUGUUUAGCAUUGCAAAAUAUACGCCAUAAGAUUGAGACCCAGACGCUUCUUUAGUGUUCCUGUAAGUAAGGCUGUAAAUAUUUUAUUUUCAUAAAAUAUUUAUUUUUCUCACUCUGACAUGUAUGUGUUUUGUUUUGUAGAAAGAGUUGAGAUCUCCACAAGAAUCUCAACAUGGUGAUGCGGUAAUGGAGGCGAUUACUAAAAAACGUAACAAAUCUGUGUUAGGGAAGGGGUCAAUUCAACACUACAAUUUUGUGUAUGUAAAUUGUAAUUAAUGUCUGUAUAUGAAAGGGUAUUUUAGUCAUUUACUAAAAAAUGUAUGUUAUGUUUUGUUGUAAAACAAACAGCUAAGGCACUGGCGGAACAGGUUACACAAGAGCAUUUUGACAAUGGACUGAUAUACCCUUCGUUCACCAACAUUUGUAAGAUUUCCACUCAUAUUGCUGCCAGGGUGGCAGCCAAAGCAUAUGAACUUGGUAAGAAGAAGGCCCAAUUUUCUGGCCCUCAUCUCGGCUCCCUUCUCUUAUAUCUUCCCUCCUAAUCUCCCAACCUCCGACCUGCCACAUCCUUUUAACUGUGGCGCUUCUUUUGUUGCCAACUGCUGCAACAGAUUGGCCAAAAAGGGUAACUACUUGUCUCUGGUGUUGAUAUUAAGACGUUUUAGUGUCCGUUGAAUCAAUAUUUGAUUUUAAUUUUAAUUUCAAGUUUUGUUAUUGUUUUUUUACCCAUUUACUUCAAUAGGGUUGAAACAUGUCUAAUUUAAUUGUUUUGAUUAUAUCAAGUCCAGAUGUGAGUUUGAUGAUUUGUAUUCCGAUAGUUUAUUAAACUUAAAAUUGCUUAGUUUUGUAAACUGGCAUUUUCUAUUUUUUUUUAAAAACUUGAAGUCUUGAAAGUAAAAUGAUAUAUAUAUAUAUAUAUAUAUANACCAUCAUGGCUUAAAUACUUUUAAAUACAGAUCCUAUAAAUAUAUAGAAUCUGAAUGGAAAAUAAUAUGAUAUUUUAUUAGUUUUACUUUGUUUCUUUUUUAUCUUAAUAGGCUUAAUGGGUUAAGCACUUAAUCCAAAAAGAUACAUAUAGUUGUUUCCUUUUGACUUAAUUUGGACAUAAUGACAUGAUGAGUUAACCAAAAAAGCCUGCCACAUAUUUUAGUUAGGGGUAUUAUGGGAAAAUCCUACGAAUAAAGGGCUUAUUAAUGGGAGGGGAAUUUUGGGUAAUUCUUUAUAUAUUUUGUUUGUUGCAACAAAGUAUAUAAGUGGGUAGAAGGAUUGAGGGAUGGUUAUCUGUCAUGAUAAAUGAAGAUUUUCACUAUCACUGCCUUCUCUGCUAUCAGGAAUAUACAUAUUUCAUGGUCUUUUUUCCUUUUUUAAAGGUAAACAUCCNUUAAAGGUAACAUCCAUCAAUUUUGAAUUAACUCUCUCUUUUAUCAAAUAUCAUGUUCUUCAUUUUAGAGAACAUUAAUCUCUGUUAGUUUUUAUUUAUUUAUUUAUCCUGUUAUGUGUUGGACUACAGCAGUGAAAGGGGCAUUAAAAAUAAAAAACAAAAACAAAAAGAUAAUUCUCUCCUUAUUUUCAUAUGCCUAAUAUAUCCUGUACUUCAAUUUGGAGAAAGAUCAUCAAGCAAUAGAUAUCCUUUUAGAAGAGAUCGAUAUAUAUGAGCUUUUUUCUUUCAAACAUUGUUGGGGAAGAAGGUUGAAACUUGCUCUUUGUGAAGGUAAUUUUUUUUCUUAAUGUAUUAUCCUCUAUAUUCUUGAUAUUUUACCACUUUUUAAAUCUUUUAUCAAAUUCUCACUUUUGGAUACAAAGCUUGAUGAGAGAAUGCUUGACUUAAAUCUUUUAUCAAAUUCUCACUUUUGGAGGUGGCCAUAAGAAAAUGUAAGUAAAGGGUAAUUUGGUAUUUGUUGUUGUUAUUAUGUAUUACAAUACUUCUUUGUAUAUAUGUAUAAAGUUUGUUCUUAUUCAGAUUUGCCUUUUACCAUGGAUUUCCUUAUUGAGGCAUUGUACUUUGAAAAUGUUAAUUCUUACCUUUUGUCCAUGUAGGAUCCACCAGGAACAGGAAAAACACAAACAAUUCUUGGGCUUCUUAGUGCCAUAUUACAUACCAAAUGAGUAUCCAAGUCUCUUAGUAACUUUGAAAGACAUUGAUUACUUGAGGGUAUUUUAGUAACAUUGUAAGAGAUUGAUUACUUGAGGGAACUUAUGGUAUAUAAUGUUAUAUUCUUUUGUUAACAUGGUCCUUAGUGCAAUGAAUUAUCUUUAAUGUUUAUGGUAUUUUAUUUUGUAUUAUGAGACUUUUAAUGUGUUAUUUAAUUUGAAAAUUAGUAAAUCUAUCAAAAAUAUAUAAUUUUAAAAAAUUUAAAAUUAUGACACGCAAAAAUGCGUGUCGUCUUCCUUUAUGACACGGACUUCCUUGAUACGCUUUGCGUGUCAUAAACACGCGUGUCGUCUUCCUUUAUGACAGGGCCUUUCUUGAUACGCAUUGUGCGUCAUAACUGCACGUCGUAAAUGCGCGUCGUAAACAGACGACGCACAAAUCCGCGUCGUCUUCCGUUAUGACAUGGCCUUUCUUGACGCGCAUUUGCGUGUCGUCGGAGCAUUUUACGACACGUAUUGCGCAUUGUAAAAGGUUGUUUUUCUAGUAGUGAAUGGAGCAUUUUGUGACAUCUUUGGCUAAGGCUCGGUGACUUUGAUGCCAUGUCAUCACAAAAGGAUAUUGCAUACAAGGUUACACUCUAGCACAUUUAGUGGUGAUAAGAAAUUGGAAAUCUUACACUUGUAAUAAGGAUUUGGAAUUAUGAAAUGAACAUCAUUGGACUUGUGUCCAAUUGAUAUGUUCGCGAAGGAAGGACCAUAAAGAAACAUAGUAUGCAUGUUUAGAACAUGCCAUGACUAAUGUUUAAAUUCAAGUAUUUAGUUUAUUAUUCGAAACAUUAUACAACUAAUAACGUCUAAUUAAUAUGAUGAUUAAAUAAUAAGUGUUUUAUUUAUAUUCAAUGGUUUUGAGACCAUAGUUAAUUAGGUUAUUAUUGUGUUCCACUUUGCAUGUUUUACUUCCUAAAUAAUUGGAUUAUUCAAGCAUCCACAGUCCAUCAUACUUUUGGAAGUAAGUGGUGAAUUAAGACUGUCAUGAAUCAGACGGUAGAUUAUCUAAGGGGUUAGACAUAGCAAUCCUUUGCUGCAGUAUUCAUGAGUACUUUUGAAAUGGAGAUUUAAGUAUUGGAUUAACCCACACUCAAAGAAUUACUUCAUGGAUUUUAUCAUGAGUAAUUUUGAGACGAAAAUAUCUUAUAUUAUUGAAACGGUGUUAUAUGAGUUGUUGUUUACGAGUCAGUUGUGUCUUGACAAUGCGUAAACGCAUCAGUAACUUGAUGUUAUAAAACAUAUUGUUGUGUGUGAUUUGGUGAGUGAAUAGUGCAAGCAUGUGAGUCGAAGUUUAUCGGUUCCUUUUGCCCUAAAUGGGAAAAAGUGAUAUAUGUGGGCCCCUCGAUGAUUUGAUGAUGACAUCUAAACCCCUUGGCCAAGUUUGGACUGAAUUGAUGUGUUCAAUUAGUAGUCUGAUAUCAGUCGUCAUAAAUCAGAAACCAGGAAACAAAUCUUGGACAGAGAGAAUGAUUACAAUUCAUGUCUCAUGUUUAUACGAUAUCUUGUAGAACAGAUGAAUAUUUGAUCACUUACCUAAGGACAAUUUGCUGAUCAAUUCGAAGUUAUACUAGCAAUUAUAGUUAUUAGACUUAUCCAAGCGGUAGACUAUUGGAUUAGGUGUCUAAGACCAUAACUAUAAUUAGUAUAAACUUAAAUUGAUGGUAGCACAGUCCUUUUGGGUUGCCUUCAAACCUGGUAAUUGAAUAGAAUAACUUUUAGAGAGACAAGAGUGCUUUAUUAAUUUAUUACUUGGUUAAUAAAUUAAUUAGAUUUAUUAAUGUAUUAUGAAAAUAAUAUAUUAAUUAGAAAUCAUAUUUUUUAAUUCAUAUUUAAUCAGAAAUUAAUUUUGGGAUUAAAGGAAUUAAUUGAAACUGUAGGGACUAAAGGUUACAAUGUUCAAUAGUUGAACAUUGGGUAAUUCUAGAACCUCCCUAUAGUAGGGGGAACGAAUUCUAGAUACUCCUAGGAUUUCCUUGAGCUCUAAGGGUGCCUUAGAUGCCUUAGGGAGGAAGUUAAGGGAUUAGGGUUAUCUUGGAUACACCUGUCUUAUCCAAUACUUUCCUAACACCUAUAUAAACCCUCCUUAGGGUUAAAUUUCGGCCUAACCCUUCAUUCUAAGUGUCUUGGCCGGAAUUUUGAUCUACUCCUCUCUCUCUAUAGUAUUCCUUGGUUUCUUGAGUUUGUUUGUGAACCAUUAUAGUCGCAAAACUUGUGGUGCCUGCUACUAAAGGCCUUUCAAGCAAGGAUUCAAGAUUGUUUACAAUAACAAUCUUAAAGGUAUGUAUCAUAACCCUUUAUUAUGUGAAUUUUGAUUAUACACUAGGUCCCUAGGUUUUAUACUUUGAUGUUCAUUAUUGUAUGUUAAAUUAGAGAAAACGUAGACCUUCAAUUAGGGUUGCAUGCGCACAUAGGAUCGUAUGUUUUGCUCAAAACCCAUCAAUGUUCAGGGUUUCAUACUAGAAUGUGUAUUAGGAUAGAUGCCUAUUACGAAGGAUGUAUGUUAUGUUUUGCUCAAAACCGCUCGAAUGCCGCUUGCUUUGUGAUUUUGGGACUGAUAUUGAUGUGAGUUAGUUACUACAUGAAUAUGUUAAGUUACCUGCUGUAAUGGUUGAAUACUCUUAGAGUGAUUGAUUUGGACCUAUUGCGUAGCUCUCGUCUGAGUCUAACCUUUGUAGGGUUGAGUCUUUUAAUCGAAGGAUUAUCUAAUAUUUGUUGCAUGUAAUUGUAUUAAUGAAGUAUUUAGAUGACAUUAGUAGGAGUUCUUUAGUAAUCGAUGGUAGGGUAAGGUGGGAAUCCUAGGAUAGUCUAGGAAAUGCUUUAUUCGAAAUGAUGCAUUGUUUAACAGGUUUUGGGAAUUCCAGUUUGAGAAUGUGACUUAGAGGAUUCUGGAUGAUUCUUGCGGAAAGUAUGGAUAGAUGUGGAAGGUGGUACUGGGUCUGUGCUACUAAAAGCAUAGAAUCCAUACUCAAAUCGGGGAAUAUCACGGGUAUUAUAAGAAGCCAUUAGAGGUUUGAUGUGCAUGUUUCUGAUUAGUGGGUAAACUGUGAUGGAUUAAUGAUGACUUUUUGGUUAUGAGACGACAAUUUGGACUUAUUUAAUAGGAUGUUGAUAUAUGGGAGGGAAGUAGAGCCCUCUAAGAUUGGUGUGGACAAUGUAGGAUUACGUGACUGGAAUUCCUUUGAGGUUUCACAGAUCUUACUGGAAGAGUUGCCCGGUAUCAUUCGUCGGAUCACUGAAAUGCUGAUUGCCAAGUUCAAGGAGCGGACCGCAAACUUACGGGAUGCAAGAGAAAUUAUUAAGGCGACUAGAGAAGGAAAUCUUGAUGUGGAGGAAUGACAAGGAAAGAGAAGACAGACGUAGGAUUCAACAUACUUGGAGAGGGAUGAAGUGUUCAAUACAACGAACCUGGGUACUGGAAGUCAGGGAGAUUUGGAUAUAUAUGGCAAGUGUAUAGGAAGUUACGGGUUUGCUUGCCAGAAGUUCAGGUGUUUCAAGUGUAGAGAAAGAGGGAAUGUGCACCAAGAUUGUAAGAAGGAUCAAAUAUAUUUUCAUUGUCACUAGCCAGAUCAUUUCAAAUUAGGAUGUCCUGUGUAGGUGGCGGGGGAAAUGUAGACCCCAAUGCUCAUCGUCCUGCAGGAGGUCAAGGUCGAGCCUCAAGAAAUCACUGGUAUGUAUUUUGAUCCCCAUUUGUGUAAUAAUAUUUCUAUUUAAACUAAGUAUAUCCUUGGCAUGUGUUGUGUAGGUGGAUCGAAAAUCCUCUUGUGUGGUGAGAUUGUUAGAACUAUAUUGGGAUCUCUAUAAUUUCAAUGGAUUAGGGUGCAAUCCUUAGGAUGCCUCAUAAAUCAAUGGUAUGUAGGUCGCUUUGGAUAUUAUCAAAGUUUUGACAUUAUAAAGUUUCCGAUGUACCCAUAUAAGGUUCAGGGUCCCUUAAUGAUUGCUUAAGUCAUCAAUCAAAGAAUUGUCACAUGCCAUUUUUCAUACCGAGAGUCAUGUUUGGAGAAUAUAUGGUUGAGCCGGUUGUAGAUGUCAGUUCAGAAGGUGACGGUCAUCGAUGGCGUGAGCCCUCGGUGGGAGUGACCUAGGUUUCUUACUUGGAAGAUCAGAAGCCGACCAUAUUUUGACGGCUUUAUCACAAUGGGUCAGGGGAGGAAGUUAUAUUGUAAUUACAUUAAUUGUUUUUCGAAUUUGAGAUGGUUGAGAUCCUUCAUAGGUGAGGGAUAUAACGGAUUGUUCAGAAUGCAGGUUCAAGGAGAGUUGCUUCCAGAUCCUUGGUUUUAAGGAUGUGCGUAUGGUCCUUGUACCAAAUGCUUUUAGGCAAAGAUCUCAUUGUAAUCGGCCGUCUCUUCUAGGACAAUGGAGAGAGAGUCCAGAGGUGCUUGUGUUGCUCAGACCGGAUGUCAGUGUUGGAUUGUUUAGAUCGUUGGAUAGAUUUAUUUCAUUAGUAGGGUAAGAAUUGUUGUGAUCUAUCAGCUUCUGGGUGUGGGUGAUGGAUUUUCGCAUGAAGUUGUUCAACUGUUGAGAUUAUUGGAGGAAUCCGAUUUCUCUUAUGUCCGGUAAUGGGAUGAGCGGGUUUCAAAGAUCAAAUGGGUUCAUUCUGGGAUGACUAGGAAGUUCGAAUGGUUUUGAAGAUGGUUAGAUUGUAGUCGAAUCCAAGUGCGGGAGAAACUUUAGGCAUUAAUGGAAAUAUUUCCAAAUGCGGGUCAACAUGGAAUUCCAUAAAUAAGGACAAGAGGGUAGCUAGUUAUGUUGGGGUAUGGGUCAAGGAUUCUGCAAGGGAUGAUUUCAGUGGUUAGUCAUAAUCAGGGAAGCAAAUGUUCAGGUUGAGGGUUGUGUUAGAACCUAUCUGCAUGUUCUUUCCUGAUAAAGGCCUUGGGGUUCGAAUCAUGACCAGAACACCUGAUUAGGGUUUAGUAGGAUGGGGGUUUCAACUUGUGAUGAACUUUGGUUAAGUAUUUUGUGGUUAGUUGGCAAGACCAUGGGUUUUUUGGGAUUUGAGUAUUCUAACACUUCCUAAGUGUACAUGCAACCCUAAUAAACCUUGAAUCUAUGUUUGUCUAAAUACAUGCAAAAUUUGUUUUCCAAGGUUUAUAACUUAUCUAGCAUGGCAUGGGGAACUUUUAAACAUAAAAGGAACUAGAUGAAUUACAUACCUUUUGAUGAGUGUUGAUUCCUUGGCUUUUGAGAGCCAAGCAUCAAUAAUGUGAAUGCCUCAAAUGGAAAUCACAAAUCACCACAAACUUGGAAAACUUUAUGAGAGAGUAUACACACUCUUAGAAAUCGGCUACACCUUACACACACACACACACUAGGGUGCUAUUUCAUGCAACAUAAGCUUGUUUAUAUAGUGUGAAUGGUUAGGGUGAAACCCUAAUAACCCAUGUCCUUUCCUUUCCAAGGAUCCAUGGGUUAAAAGCUCCAUGGACUUCCAUAUAAGCUUAGCCCAUUAACAAAUGAGUAUUAGCCCACACCAUAUAAAUAUAAUAGCCCAUGAUUUAAUUAGUCUUCCUUUUAAUCACUAAAUUAAUUCAUAAUUAAUUCAAGAUUAAAACUAAUUAAAUAACAUGACUUCAUAUUAAUAUAUUAUAACUUAUAAUAUAUUAAUAAAUCGUAAGUAUACAAUUCUCAUAAAAUUAUCCAUAAAUAGUUUGGGUGAAGUGCAACCCAAAUGGACCAUGCCGGGUCGGGUCAAGUAUAUACCAAAUAAGUUAUGGACUUAGACACCUUAUCCAACAGACUCCCACUUGGAUAAGUCUAAUAACUGUAUUUGCCUAUAUAACUUCAGGAACCAACCAGCAAUCGUAGCUCUCGAAAACUCUGUUGAACUAUGAAGCGCCAUUUUAGAUAAGUGAUCAUAUAAUCCUCUGUUCUCAUGAUAUCAGCCGGACAAAUACAUGGAACAACGUCGUACUUAUUGUCCAGCAGUUUGUUUCCCGAUUUUCGAUUUGUUUGACAAAGAACUUAAUCGAACACAUCAAUUUAGUUCUGACCGGCCGGUACAUAGGUCACAACAAAAUCAUCGAGGGGCCCAGAUAUCGCUUCUAUUUCUAGAAGGAACAGAUAAACUUCGACUCAUAUGCUUGUUCUACUACUUGUUGAAUUGUACACAAAGGCACGUUUUAUAACAUCAAGUUACUGAUGCGUUUACGUGCAAUCAAUGCACAACCAACUCAUAGGUAACAACUCAUAUCUCUAGGUUUGAAGAUUUAUAUGAUAUUACCGUCUCACGAUCACUCGAGAUAAAUUCCAUGAAGUGAUGCAAGUGAGCGUGGGUUUAUUCCAAUACUCAUAACUUAUGAGCACUCAUGAAUGUUGUAGCAACCAUUGCUAUCUCUAAACACAUUUAGCCAUCUACAACCUUGAUUCAUGAUAGUCUUAAUUCAUACCUACUUCCAACAUAUGAACGACUGUGGAGUGUUUAAAUAACUUAGUCAUUCGGAAAGAAUAACCUAGCUAUUUUGGAAGUCNAACAUGCGAAGUGAAACACAAUAAUAAUUGAAUCCAAUAUGGUCUCAGAACCCUUUUGAAUAUAAAUAAAACCACCUUUUAUUUAUCACCAUAUUGAUUACACAUUAUUCAUUAUAUAAUGGUUCAAAUAAUCAACUUAAUACUUGAAUAAAACAGCAGUUGUCCCAUGCUCCUAGCAUGUACACUUUUUUUCUAAACAAUAGUUAUGCCAUGCUCCAAGUAUGAACACUAUGUUUGUCUAUGAUCUUUACUUUUGUGAAAUAAAUCAAUUGAACAUGAUUCCAAUGAUGCUCAUUUCACAAUCCCAAAUCCUUAAUGUAAAUAUAAGAAUUCCUAAUUCUCACCAUUUACCGAAAUCAGUUAGAUUUUAAACUUAUAUGCAAUGUUCCUCUUGUAAUGAUUAUGCAUAAAGUCACCAAAACCUUGUCACUAGUCAUUACAGAGUAUUCCAAAGAAGAUCAACUCUAUGGAAACGAAGUCUCAUAUUCAAAGUACAUUGCUUUGAACAUCCUUCUUGCAUUAAGCUUUUCUAAUCUUACACAAAUUGAAUAACUUCCACCUAUGGAGACAUUUCCAUAGUCCCAUUUUGACUAUCACUUCUGAACAAGAGUUGCCUCUUUUCAGAAAAUGUCAAUAUGGACCUGCCAAAAUUAACAUUAUACUUCCAAAUGUCCCUAAGCAACCAAUCUAUGGAAAACCUCAGAUUGUCCUCGACAAUUGCUUAAUCACUUUAGUCAUAUCCAGUUCUAGACUUUUCCCUUCUAGAUGCCCUGAGCAUUUGGAAAAUUUAGAAAGGAUGAAUAUUAUAGCACAUGAAAUCGAUCCUAUAUCCGAAGCAUAUGGGACACGAUUCAUGAUGUCUCACAUAAAGACAUGAUACUAGACCAGUCUUUUGCUACAAUAUUUUUUAUUUGCCAUGUUUUCAAAAUUUAACUAUGAAGAGGGAUGCCGUAAUCAUAAUCNNNNNNNNNNNNNNNNNNNNNNNNNNNNNNNNNNNNNNNNNNNNNNNNNNNNNNNNNNNNNNNNNNNNNNNNNNNNNNNNNNNNNNNNNNNNNNNNNNNNNNNNNNNNNNNNNNNNNNNNNNNNNNNNNNNNNNNNNNNNNNNNNNNNNNNNNNNNNNNNNNNNNNNNNNNNNNNNNNNNNNNNNNNNNNNNNNNNNNNNNNNNNNNNNNNNNNNNNNNNNNNNNNUAUAUAUACAAAUAUAUAUAUAUAUAUAUAUAUAUAUAUAUAUAUAUAUAUAAAUUCUUGACUAAAGAUGAUUAAAAUCUCAAUCUAAGCUUUUAGAAUUGUAUUGAAGUAUAAUUUCCUCUCCCUUAAUUAUAGCAAAACAACUUUUCCAACCCCUGCAACUUCACGAAUUGAAACUUUUGUUUUUCUAUAAUUAACAUUGCUAGCUUGCAAUAACAAUAAUCAUAAUUUUCAUGCUCCCACUAACAUGAUGAUUAUUAGCAUAACACUUAUGCUCCCACUAGCUUUGACAUGUAUUUAGAAAUCGGUUGGACUUCUAAAAUUUAGGUUCAUACACCUUUCCGUAGAUAGCUCACAUGUCUCUAAGCAAUUUCGAGAACUAUGGAAAGGGAUGCCGUAAUCAUAGUCUCAAUUGUUCAGACCUUUGCCAUUUCUCACAAGUCCAUGUUAGUGUGUCAGUUAACCACACACGCUCCACUAACGACUUUUGAAAAUGCAAAUAACACAAUUGCUAUCUACUUAAAAUCUACUUAGUGAAAGCGUUUCCUCACCAUCAUUCUCAUAAAUCGGAGAGAAACCUUAUGACACUUAGAUUUUAUGGUGUAUGAGUUCCUAUCCAUGUGAAUUUGUCAAAACUAUAAUCACAAGACAAGGUUAGUGACAAAUUCAGCCUUACAUGGAUUGACCUUGUUAAAUCUUAAUUUCUUGUCACCUGGCAGCACAAGGCCCACCAAUGCUUCCAAGCUGUUAUGCUCACAAUUUAGAACUAACAUAACUCAUAUGCAUAGUCAACUUAAGAGGAAUAGACACAGAAACAAGAAUUGUGUCAACUUAAUAGGUUGCAAACCUUGAGUCGUGUGCUAGUGAUAAAACUCAGGUUUCACUCUUGAUUAAAUCUUGAAAUCCUUUCAGGAUCUUUAAGACUCCCACUAUCCUCUUGACAUAUAAGUUUCCCUAGUCAAGUACCAUUCCUUGACAAAACAAAUAUUCAAGGGAUAGUGUGGAUUCUUAUCAAGAUAAACACUUCACACAAUUGGUCUUAGUUGGUCUUUGUCUUAUCCAAGACAUCACAACUUACCAAUUUCAAAUGUACAGGAGUAGAAAACAUUUUACACUACAUUUGAUAAGUGUUCUAAACAUUACUUUAUGUCACUCAAUGUUACAAUCUUGGAGUACAACUCUAAGAGUUGUUUUGGAACGAAGUAUGAUUCAUCUUCUUGAUUUAAACCAUUCCAACAAUUCAUGACCCCUCUUCUUAGUCAUAACAAUGCACUAAGAUGUCCUUGGAGUAUGAAUUUGUGAUAUGGUUUCAUAAUCAUUAAGAUGAUCAUAAAACAUGAUACUAAAGUACUCUCCCAUCUUUUCAGAUUUGAGAAAAUUUUAUCUUUCUGCCUAAUUUGAUUCUUCUCAUCCGUUCUGCCAUACAUUGAAACUUUUCCAAUGUUACAGAAUUAUACUUAACCUUAUAAGUAAAUCAUACUUACUAAACUUUAGUAAAUCCUGACGAAUCGAUCUUUGUGGUGGACCUUGACCAGCACACACCCAGUGUACCCGAUCCCUUUAGUCCUAUCCUUGUUCAUAUAAGGAAUUAGUCUUAAUUUUCCAAAGAUGAAAAUUAUCAUCCGUCAUACAAUACAACUUGUAUGAUUCCAAGUUUCGGUCCAACUGAAACUUGGGUGAUGAGAACCUUUCCUCAUUUGGUAAAUUCUGACACUACUACAAACAAAAGAAUCAAAUCCACUUUCCAAUAUUGCUAUUACUGGAAACAUAUAAGCAACAAAUUUUCACAAAUGCCAUUGUAAGGAUAUUUUUAAAAUAAAUAAAAUUAAAACCCUUUUUUUAUUUUAAAACUUUGCGGAAAAACUUAUCCUUACAAUCCAUAGGAAAACCUUGUUGUUAUCUAUUCCUAAGUAAUAUAUCAUAACUCUCAAGCAACAGCUCAAAAUUUUGAUCAUCGAACCAUGCGAUCGAAACCCAUCUUCGCAAUCAGAAUCAACAUAUACUUCCUUUAAGCUUCCUAUCUUUUCUUUGAUUCUUAAAAAAAUCAACAUGUGACCCAUUCACAUUAUGUAAUAAGAAUCUCCAAAUAUGAACUUAAUAGAGUUAGACAGUGCACUUUAACUGAAGUAGAGUCAAACUUCUUGACUUGAUCAAUCUUAUGAUCUUUCAGGUAAAUAUGGCAGCUUCGCAAUCAGUGUCCCUCCCUUUGGCAAUAAAACAUAUGGAUCCUUUGGUAAUGGUAUAUGAGACUAUCUCAGACUUAGCAUUUCUCUUUAACAUUUGGUCAACCGAGUUGACUAUGGCCAAUCCCUUUCCAUUGGGAAGAGAAAUCCUUUUCUAGUUAUCCAAUGCUACCAUUGUCAAUGUCCAUUUAAGGUUUGGGAAGUUGAUCUUCUAAUAGAAUUUGCUUUACUAGUGUUCCAAAUCAUUGCUGAUUCCGCAGCACCAAGCAAAUAGAUAAGAUCAUUAAGGGUCAUGUCAUAGUCUGUCUCAUAGUAGUCCCAAAGGGACUCACUAUGUUACCAAGAAAGUGAUUGAACAUCCAACUUUCACGAGACUUUGACACCCAACUCUCCCGGAUUGUCAAUAUGUAACUUCAUCACCAAGAUGUGAUCACACAUAGAUGUUGCUUGCCAAUAGGGCUUGAGUGACCUUAAACUUGUGGGUUAGGGAGAAUAACUGGAGGAGGUGGAGGAAGUGAAGCAUGAUGUUGAGGGACAUCAUCUUCAAGAGGAAAGCUUGUUCCAAGCGAUUUGGGAAGAUCAUAGUUUUCUGAACCAGACAUCUACAAUGGGAGAAAAUCAAGUUAGUUGAUUCAAGUCCUUAAUAUAACUCCCAAUAUGAAAUAUUAAGGCUAGGACCCAACACAAUAUUUUAUAAUUUGGAAGAGGGAUGCCGUAAUCCAAGCUAUAAAAUAUUUGAAGGUAGGCGAAUGACGAUUCACCAAUUUCCACCAUGAAAAACGAAAUAAUUUAUUAGGUUUUAAUUGGAUUUGAAAUUCCUAGAUCUUUUGAGAUUCAUUGAACUUUUCAAUGGCAUGUUUCAAUCUCGAGUGUGCCCUCUCAAAUUUUGUGACUGGGAUGCCGAGGAUCACAAAACAAGGUGUGAAUAACCAUACCAAUUCACUUGGUACCCUUAAUAUUAUCACCUAAUCAAUGUGCCGGUUAACCACACACGCUCCAUUGAUCUAUGACAAACAUUAAGUCACCCUUCGUGAUCCUUACUAGUCCAAGUUAGUGUGCCGGUUAACCACACACGCUCCACCAACGACUUGGUAAGGUACAAAGUGUGAAUUCCAUGGACUAGAACCAUGUUCACAUUUUUCCUAAAGUAACUAAGAUUGGGAAUUAAUAAAAAAUUUAGUUACUUUAAAAUAAUCAUUAUACUUUUAAUGAGGAUUUAAAUUCAUUGUCCUACCCGUUCUGCUAACAACCCUCCACCGAUCAAGGAAGUGGUGGAUGAGAGUGGACACCCAUUAAGCUGUCAUUUUAUAGGCAGCAACCUUAUACCCCCCUUAUAGACCGGCUUCGUGAAUGAGGCCUACUAACGGUAGAACGACUUAUUCUUAUACAUAUAUAUAAUAAUUAACCAUUAAUGUUAUAAAUAGUAUAAGGGUUGAAUUUUAACUAUUAAAACUCUAAGGGUUGGAAUUAAAGUUUAUUAAAGUGUGUGAAACUUUACAAAUUCCAAAACUUGAGGGCAAGUUUUGUAACUAUCCAAAACUUUUCAUUUCAUAACUUAUGAAUUAAAGGUUCAUAAAAAUGAAGACUCUUCAUUUUCAUGUAACUUAUGUGUUUAAAUGUGUGUGUUAAAAAAAGUGACCUUUGGAUAUCCAUAACUUGAGGAAAAAUUAUGGACUCCAUUAAAACACAUAAAUGAUCAAGAAUUAAUUCUAAACAAUUCAGCAAAUAAUUCCUAUCAUCUUCUAAAUUCAUAAGAACAUGAACAUGAUCAUCAAAAUUUCAAGAAUUAUAUGAACACAAAAAAAUCAUGGAAUUUUGAUAUAUGCUAUUGUAAAUGGAUUAGAACAACCAUUACACCAACUAAAACAAGUUUUAAAACAU